rnacentral:lncRNA from 1 species
UGGAAAUGGAUAUGUUUUAGAGGCAAAAUCUUAUAUAUGGGCUAAAGGUCGAGAGACAGAACAUUGAGUCAAUCCAAAGGAUGAGUUAAAAAUAUUCCAACAUAUUUUAGUCUCAAACAUUGCAAAUUUGGUUUAGUAACAGAGGAUUAACUAUAUGUUAACCUCAAAUCAUCAACUGAAAAAGUAGGACACUACAAAUUACAUCAAUUAAACAUUCAAACUAAAGCAUAUUAAACAACUCAAAUAAACAACAAAUCAGAAUAUAACUCAAAUCGUAGUUAACUUGUACUGUUAUGGACUAACAUGUAAACCCAGACAACUAGAUACCAAAUCAAAAUCUCAAACAGCCCUUCCAGGGCUUCUACCUACUGUAAGAAAAUUAAGAUAGAAUAGUGGAAAACAAACCCGUUGAGCAAAAUCCUUUAAUAAUAACAGAAUGUAGUCAACAAAUACAAGCUUGAGUUCAAAUCCACUCUAAGAGAAAACUCGGAAAUCAGGAAGUCGAUGGCAACAAAACAUAGCAAAACAUGAGGAGCUCAGCAUCAUGAAUCCACCAGAAAAUCAGCAACAACAAAUCAACAAAUUUGAACCUCUACAGCUUGUGAAAAUCCAGAAAAAAGAAUUCAUCUCUGAAAUUGUAUUUCUUCAAAUCUUUAUCGAAAAAUUCAGUUUUCUUUCUAUUAUUUCUAGCUUUUGAUUUUCAGAUCUUUAGCUAAAAAACCAACAUUGUUUCAACUGGGUUUGGGCAGUAAUUUCCGGUAGUUUGUUUGAAGGGGAGUGGCUGAUUUUUGUCCCUCUCGAUUGCUGCUCGUUUUUAGCGCUGAAGUAACAACUUUUCAUGGCUGAAACGGGCUAGGAUGGGAGAUGAAGAAGGAUAUGGCUGCUUUUCACUGAGGAAGAGCUGAGCUCUGGAACGCCGUUGCUCAUUUUUGUCGAGGAGAGAGUCUCUUUCUCUGUUGAAAAUGAGAGAUGGUGAGAGAGAGAGAGAGCAGUCCCCUCUCUUUUGAGGUAAUGGCGUUGUCUCCAUGAAGAUAGGGGGGUCCGAUUAUUUUUGUUCUAGGUCUUCUGAUCUUUGGUCCAGGGAUUUAAGGGAAAAUUGGGGAAAGGGAAGAUUGGGCUAGGAUUUAAAAGUUAAUGGGCUAUUUUAGGGAUUAGCCCAAUUUUAAAAGAAACAAGACCAAAAAUAUAUUCUUCCUAUUAUUAUUUUCUUUGUUUUUUCCUUUUUUUAUUUUUCUUUGAUUUUAAAUUCUAAUUAAAUUAAUUAAGAUCCUAAAUCAAUCUAUUUUUGUAGAAAUGAAAAUUCUUUACUUAUUUUUAAUAUUAAAACGACUAAUUAACUUAAAACUAAAGAAAAAUGCUAAUUUUAAAGAUUAAAAUCUAAAUAUGUAAAAAUGAUCAUUUUUUGUGAUCUUGGCUUAAUAAAAUUAAUUUCUAGAUGCAAAUUGAACCUAAUAUGGCAUGAAAUUAAAAUAUGAUAAUUAUUUAUGGGUUUUCGAUGAUUUUAAAAUAUUAAAAAUGCAUAAAACGCAACUAAAUAAAGAAAAACUCCUAAAAUCAAUUAAAGUUAUUUCUAGCUUUUGAUUUUCAGAUCUUCAGCUAAAAAAACAACACUAUUUCAACUGGGUUUGGGAGGUAAUUUCUGGCAGUUUUUUUGAAGGGGAGUGGCCGAAUUUUGUCCCUCUCGGUUGCUGCUCGUUUUUAGAGCUGAAGUAAUAGCUUUUCACGGCUGAAACGAGCUGGGAUGGGAGAUGAAGAAGGAGAUGCCUGCUUUUUGCUGAGGAAAAGCUGAGCUCUCGAACGCCGUUGCUCGUUUUUGUCGAGGAGAGGGUCUCUUUCUCUGUUGAAAAUGAGAGAUGGUGAGAGAGAGCAGUCCCCUCUCUUUUGAGGUAACAACACUAUCUCUAUGAAGAUAGAUGGGAGGGGGUCUGAUUAUUUUUAUUCUAGGUCUUCUGAUCUUAGGUCUAUGGAUUUAAGGAAAAAAAGGGGAAAGGGAAGAGUGAGUUGGGGUUUAAAAGUUAAUUUGGGCCAUUUUAGGAAUUGGCCAACUUUAAAAGAAACAAGACCAAAAAUAUAUUCUUCCUAGUUUUAUUUUCAUUGUUUUUUCCUUUUUUUAUUUUUCUUUGAUUUUAAAUUCUAAUUAAAUUAAUUAAGAUCCUAAAUCAAUCUAUUUUUUUAGAAAUUAAAAUUCUUUACUUAUUUUUAACAUUAAAAUGACUAAUUAACUUAAAACUAAAGAAAAAUGCUAAUUUUAAAGAGUAAAAUCUAAAUAUGUAAAAAUAACCAUUUUUGUGAUUUUGGUCUAUUUUUAGGAGUUAUUUUCAUGUAGGGCAAAAAUUAGGUGCUCACACCAGUCUCCGACGACUGGGCAGUACAGGUCUUCACUCAAGGCCUGAACGAACGAAGCUCGGUGGCUUCAAAACAGCUGAAACAGAAUCUAGUCUAAUACCUCGCCGUGACCUGGUCGGACGUUCACAACCGAUAUCAAUCAAAAAUCAAGGUCGAGGACGACCAGCUAGGAGCCCCCUCCGGCUCGGUAUACCCAAACAGGCUACCAGCGAAGGAGCCAAAGCCAAACAAAGAAAGGUACCAGCCAUACCCUAAAGACAAGAGGAACGCCCCAAGGUGCAACGUACCCUGCAACGAUCGAAGGAUAGAUCGAGGCCAGAAUCAUCGGGACUCAUCAACAGAGCUGGCUUCGAUAGGUACACAGGGCCUACGGAGGCACCUCGCUUGUCAGAAUACAACUUCAAUGUCGAUGUAUCACACAUCGUGUUCGCCAUCUGUAAAAUCAAAGAUACCAAAUGGCCAAGGCCCAUACAAUCAGAUCCUUCACAAAGGAAUCAUAACUUAAUGUGUGAAUUUCACAACACGCAUGGUCACAGGACCAAAGAUUGCCGACAACUCCGGGAAGAGGUAUCCCGACUACUCGACAAAGGUCACCUCCGAGAAUUCCUCAGCGACCGUGCCAAAAAUCAGUUCCGGGAAAGAAAGGCGGCCAAAAAGAACAAAGCAAAUGAGCUGCAACAUGUCACCCAUAUGAUCUUUUAUAGUGUCAGUGCCCUGUAGGAACCCACGGUCAGGAGAACAAAAACAUACCGCACCAGGAAGAGGUAAACUCGAGGCUCUAUCUCAGCCCUGUAACGAUGCACUGGUAACUUCUUUUCUUGUGGAUACAUUUCAAAUUAAACAUGUUCUUGUGGGUCCAGGUAGCUCGGUUAAUAUUAUUAGCUCAAAGGCAACAAAGCAGCUUGGACUGCUCGACCAAACUAUGCCCGCCCCUCAAACCCUCAACGAAUUCAACACGCCAUUCAAAAGGCAUUAUUCUCGGCUAUUUUUAAUGAACAAAUAAAGGACCGUACUGCUCCCUUAGAGCAAAUAGCUGAAGGCCUAACGAGAUUUAAAGCGUCAUCGCCACUAAUGUACAACCAUCUCCCUUUUCAAGUUACAUCUCGUACCACCUUUAUUAAAGCAUUUGUUGCACUCUUUUCCUUAGAUCGAGUUUUUAUCCCAAAAAGGGUUUUACAGGCAAAGUUUUUAACGAGGCAACAUCUACAUGCUAGUUAAGGAAGAUCCAACAAGUAUUCAAGGCUUCUUUUGCAACCAACCUCAAAUACUGGGGGCCAUCACCCCCGGAAGGUCACCUACUCGGAGAAGCCAAGAUAUGCCAAACGGGGGACCAAUAGGAAAGUAAUGUACCGGGCCAAACGGUCGAACCAACCGUGCCCGCAUAGAACCGUGACAAAUAAGGCAUUUUGAACUCAAAUAGUACAUGGUACAGCUGAUUCAGUCCAUAGGGCAAUAUGUGGGUCUAUCUCAUGAAGAUCCGCAGAGGCACAUUCAGAAUUUCUUGGAAAUUACGGAUACCUACAAUUAUCCGAACGUUCCAAGGAGUAUGUCAAGCUGGCACUUUUUCCUUUUUCAUUGUUGGGGGAAGCUAAGGAAUGGUUGCGAAAGGAGCCCGCGAUCUCAAUCCAUACUUGGGAUGAUCUAGCAAGGAAAUUCUUAAUCAAGUUUUUCCCCACUAAGAAGACAAAGUCAUUGAGGAGUCAGAUUCUUAGGUUCGAACAACGGUAUGGUGAGACACUUCGUCAAGCAUGGAAAAGAUACAAGAAGCUACUUAGAGAUUGCCCACAUCAUUGUUAGACUGAUGAGGUAUUGGGUCACACUUUUGUUGAUGGGUUAGAUGAUGCAUCAAAGAUGAAUCUUGAUAGCUUGUGGGGAUAGUUGCAUGGGUAGACUGUACAGUGAAAUCCAACUCUUGCUAAAUAACUUCAUUGCUAAUGAUCAUAAUUGGGAAGGAGAUGGGGAUUCACAAAGGGAAAUUAAACAGAAGGUAGUCGGGUUGAUUGAGCUUGAUGACGUCUCAGCCAUAAGAGCCGAUAUAGCACAAUUAGCAAAUUAGAUGAAUAUAAUGACAAAGCAACAAACACAACAGAAGCAACAUGUACAACAAAUGUCUAUUUACUGCGAACUAUGUGGUAACAGUUAUAUGAGUGACAUGUGCCCCACGAAUCCUAAAUCUAUAUACUAUGUGGGGCAACAUAGCAGAGGUCUAAUGAAUCAGAACACAUAAUAUGGGAACACUUACAACCCAAAUUGGAAGAAUCAUCCCAACUUCUCAUAGGGUGGAAAUCAGGCACAUCAAAAUCAUUAUAGACUCCAAUGAAAUUUCAAUCAACCUCAGAAUCCACCCUAACAAACAGAAGAGAGUACGAAUGACUUGCUGAAGAAGUUAUUUGUUGGCCCAAAAACAGGUGAAGUUUUGAAGAUUGACAAAAGAACUCAGUCAUAGACCAGGUCCAUCUUAUGAAGCAACAAUCAUGAUCAACCUAUACAUGUGAGAUGCACAUGAAGGAGAUAAGUCCUACUAAUCAAGCAGCAAUAUCUCCUGAUCUGAUCGAAAUUAUUGUAUAUUGGAUAAGGGGAUAAAGUCUCCUUAUAUGAAGAGAACACAAUCUAGGAUGAAGAUAUUGUUAGAGUUUGAGAUCAUUAUGACCUCUUCCAUGAUAGAAGAGCAGCAAUUGAGUCCCAAUCAAACUCUGAUUACUAACCUAUUAAAUGUAAGUGUUGUUCUCUUUUAUAGGUAAUGCACAUAAGCGGAAGUUAAACUAAAUUGAGAGCAAAAGAGCUGGGCGAUUUUGCAAGCAAUUUAUGUAUGAUUUGAGUGUGCACUCCUGAAGCUACUUGAACAAGAUAGAAGAAACAAUUCAAUUGUGUCUAUCUUUUAUUCUAGUUCAAUUGUAGUAGGUGGUUUAAAAUUGUACCUUUCAUCUUUCAUAGAAGCAAUUGUAUUAGGUACCUAGAGUGUUCAAGUUAUAGCUAGCUUGAAGUUGUCGCAAUAGUUGAGGCUGUGUGCCACAACGGGAUUAGAGUUAAUCCGUAGGUUUACAAUGAGUUUUUGUAAAUGUUGUUUUGGCUUAGUGAUUUUAGUGGAAGUUUGGGAAAAUCCUACUGAGUAGUAGGUCGUGUUUUUUUCACCUUUUGAGCCAGGUGUUUUCACGUAAAAAAUAUAUGUGUUCUUUAUUUUCUGUAUUUAUUAUUUAGCAAACAGUAGUAGUUGGAACACCUAGAAGAAUCAGGUUCUUCUAUAGUUCAGUUAAGCAAAAAUUAGGUACCAUACAAAUCACUCCCCCCCCCUCUUUUAUGGUAUUGACGCUUAAAACAUCAAUUGGUAUCAGAGUGAGUUAUCCUUGAAGAGGCUAACACCUUAGGAAAAGAUCAAAAUGAGUGCACCACUUGGGAAGGGCAAUCCACUGCUAGGCCUCCACUCUUUAAUGGUCAGUACUAUUCUUGGUGGAAGAACAGGAUGAGAGAUCACAUCAUAGGAGAAGAUUAUGAACUCUGGGACAUAGUCAGUGAUCGUCCUUUGGCAACUACAAAGAAGAAUGUUGAACGAGUGGAUAUGCCAAAGACAAGAGUUGACUGCACUACCAAAGACUUGAAGAAAUGGGAGAAGAAUGCCAAGGCCAAGAAAGGCUUGUCUGUGGACUGGGUCCACACGAGUACAACAAGAUUUAAANNNNNNNNNNNNNNNNNNNNNNNNNNNNNNNNNNNNNNNNNNNNNNNNNNNNNNNNNNNNNNNNNNNNNNNNNNNNNNNNNNNNNNNNNNNNNNNNNNNNNNNNNNNNNNNNNNNNNNNNNNNNNNNNNNNNNNNNNNNNNNNNNNNNNNNNNNNNNNNNNNNNNNNNNNNNNNNNNNNNNNNNNNNNNNNNNNNNNNNNNNNNNNNNNNNNNNNNNNNNNNNNNNNNNNNNNNNNNNNNNNNNNNNNNNNNNNNNNNNNNNNNNNNNNNNNNNNNNNNNNNNNNNNNNNNNNNNNNNNNNNNNNNNNNNNNNNNNNNNNNNNNNNNCAGUAUGAAGAAAGGAGAAUCUAUCUAGGAGAUGUACACAAGGUUCACAAUACUAAUAAAUGAACUUAAAUCUCUUGGGAGAAUUAUCCUUGAAGAAGACAAGGUUGAGAAAAUCUUGACAAGAGUCUUACGAGUGACUUGGGAAUGCAAAAUCACUGCUAUUCGGGAAUCAAAGAACAUUGCUACUCUCAAGCUGGAUGAACUGAUUGGAAUCCUCACUGCCUAUGAAUUUAUAAGGCAAACCAUGAAAAUGGAUACACCCAAAAAGGAAAGAAGUCUGGCUCUCAGAAUAGCUGAACGUGCAGAUCUGGAGGAUGAUGAAAUGGCCAUUAUCACAAGAGAUUUCAAAAAGUACCUGAUGAGAGGAAAGGGUUCUUUAAGAGGUAUAACAUUCAACAAACCAAGGGUUCCUGAGAAACAGACCAACGAGGGUUGCUACAAAUGUGGAAAGACUGAUCACAUGAUUAAGUCUAUCCUCAAUGGGAAAUUGAGUGGAACAAAAGAAAGGGCUAAACGAAGGAACAUGAAGAAGGAACAUGUUCAAUUCAAAAGGAACAAAGGAUCAACAAAGCUAUGGUUUCUGCUUGGGGAGAAACAUCAUAUGAGGACUCAGAAGAUGAAGCUAGAGAUGAACAAGCACUUAUGGCCAUCAGAGAAUCAGAUGAGGAACAAGAGGCAAGUGUCCUUCAUCUCAAAGACAAGAUUAAAUUCUUGUCUAAAGAAAGGUUGUCUGAGCUAUUGCUAGACUUCAUUGAUGAGUCUGAGAUAAUUAACAAUGAGAAGGAAGAUCUGUCUAGGGAAUGUAUGAUCUUAAAAUCCAAGUGCAAAAAUCUAGAAUCUAGGGGUAAUAAGAGUGAUAGUAAAAAUGCUGAGUUGAAGAACCAAGUUCUUGAACUUGACACUAGUGUCUUAGAACUUAGGUAUGAUAACUUAAAACUGAAACUAGGAAUAUGUAAGAAGAAAGAUGAUCACAAACAUGUCACCCUAGAAGAAAACUUAGAAAAAAUGAAGGAUGAGUUGUACAGGAAGGAUGAGUAGAUAAAAGUCUUAAAAGAAGAUCUAGAGAAGGUAAAACAUGAACUAGACAGAACUUGCAAAUGGAACAAGGCUUCUGAUGCACUUUCCUGGCUACAAGAACAUCACAGUAGCAACAAAAGAGGACUUGGCUAUGGGACUCAAGCACUUAAGUGAGAUCCUAAAAGCAAGUACCUCACUCUUCCUAAGAACAAAAUCUGCACACACUGUGGCACGACUAGCCAUUACAAAAAUGAAUGUAAUGCAAAAGAAAAGUCCAGUUAAAAGAAUAAAGCUUUUGUUCAAGAGAAAAAUAUGCUGCCUGGGUGGGCUAAAAGGAAUUUGAUUUACCCUUUUGCCUAUACAAAGGGACCCAAACUAGUUUGGGUUUCUAAGACUAACCCUUGAUUUCUGUUUGCAGGCCCAAGUGAAAGGAAGUAGCCAAAUAUGGUACAUGGAUAGUGGUUGUUCAAAACAUAUGGCUGAAAGUAAGAACUAGUUCCUUUCACUUGAGGACUUAAAGGGAGGUAAUUCAUCCUUUGGAAAUGGAAAAAAAGGUGAGAUUAUUGGGGUUGGAAAGGUAGGUAAGACAGACUCACACUCCAUUGACAAUGUCUACUUGAUAGAUGGCUUGAAAUACAGCCUGAUCAGUGUGUCACAACUGUGUGACAGAGGUAACCUUGUAGCAUUCACCGCUGCCAAAUGUUUUAUGAUUAACCUUACCACUGACAAGAUUGUUUUGUAGGGAAAAAGAGUUAACAAUAUUUACAUUGUAGAUUUGUCUACUCUUUCAGAAAAUGAACUCACCUGCUUAAGUGUGUUGGAUAAUGAUCCCCUCCUGUGGCACGAAAGACUUGGUCAUGCUAGUAUGAAUCAGCUCAACAAAUUAGUCUUCAAGGAUUUGGUGAUAGGGCUACCUAACAUCAAGUUCAAGGAAGACAAAGUUUGUGAGGCAUGUGCAAGGGGGAAGCAGGUAAGAUCAUCCUUUAAGAGCAAGAAAAUGGUAAGCACAACCAAGAUAUUGGAACUGGUCCAUAUGGAUCUCUAUAGUCCAAUGAGAACCUUGAGCAGAGGUGGAAAGAAAUAUGUGAUGGUUCUUGUUGAUGAUUAUUCUAGAUUUACCUGGGUACUAUUUUUAAAAUCUAAAGAUGAAGCAUUUGACAUGUUUACUGCUUUUGUUAAAAAAACUCAGAAACAACUAGGUACUCAACUUGNNNNNNNNNNNNNNNNNNNNNNUGAUGAGCAUAGUAAUGAUCAUAAAUUCUCUACCCCUAGGACUCCUCAACAAAAUGGAGUAGUUGAAAGAAAGAACAUGACUCUUGAAGACAUGGCUAGGACUAUGCUUCUUUCUAGUAAACCGCCACACAACUUCUGGGCAGAGGCUGUAAACAAUGCAUGUUACAUUAUCAACAGAUGCAUGACUAGAUAUCUUGUAGAGAAGGCUCCCUAUGAGUUACUUAAAGGGAAAAAACCAAAUAUAUCCCAUCUUAGGUCAUUUGGAUGAAAGUGUUUUGUGCACAAUACUGGAAAGGACUCCCUAUACAAGUUUGAUCCCAAAAGUGAUGAGGGUGUAUUCUUGGGAUAUUCUUCACAUAGCAAAUCAUAUAAAGUGUUCAAUAAAAGAACUUUGUGUGAAGAAGAAAGUGAGCAUGUAGUGUUUAAUGAAACUAAUAUUCUUUCUGAGAGACAGGAACAUGAAGAUGAAACCAUUGGACUGGUAAAGGAUUUGACUGAAGUCUCAGCACAAGUUAAAGUGGCACCAAAAGAGGAACUGGUGAUGGAACAGGUUCUUCCAUCCAGGGCAAUCUGACAAGGAGAACUGAUCAAAGAGGAAUUGAAACUAAUCCCCUAAAAGAACAUGUUCAUGACACUGUUCCUCAGCAACAGAACAUGGGAGAAACAUCUAGCAGAAAUUAGUUGGUUGUGAAACCUCACAAGUAUCAAAGUUCUCAUCCUAUUGAGAACAUAAUCACUGAUCCAACAUCUGGAGUCAAAACUAGAUCACAAUUAAAGAAUCUGUGUGCUUUUGAUGCCUUUUUAUCUCUUAUUGAACCUAAAAAUAUUGUUGAGGCUUUGCAAGAUGCAGAUUGGGUGAAUACAAUGCAAGAUGAACUCAAUCAGUUUGAGAGAAGUCAAGUUUGGCAUCUAGUUCCAAGACCCAAGGACAGAUUAGUUAUUAGCACAAAAUGGGUCUUCAGAAACAAACUUGAUAAAGACGGAACAAUUACAAGAAACAAGGCAAGACUGGUGGUCCAAGGUUAUAGCCAAGAGGAGGGUAUAGAUUAUGAUGAGACUUUUGCUCCAGUUGCAAGACUAGAGGCAAUAAGAGUCCUCAUAGCAUUUGCAACACACAUGGAAUUCACUCUCUAUCAGAUGGAUGUCAAAAGUGCUUUCCUGAAUGGCUACCAGAAAGAAGAAGUGUUUGUGAAACAACCUCCCGAAUUUGAGAACAAGGAAUGUCCUGAGCAUGUGUACAAAUUAGACAAGGCUCUCUAUGGACUCAAGUGGGCUCCUAGAGCAUGGUAUGAAUGACUGUCCAAAUUCCUGCUUGAACAUGGCUACAAAAGAGGUGAAAUUGACAGUACUCUAUUCUUAAGGGAAAAAGGUAAGGAUCUCCUUGUGAUACAAGUAUAUGUUGAUGACAUAAUCUUUGGGGCCACCACUGAUAAACUAAGUAAGGAUUUUGCCAAAUUAAUGGGGAGUGAUUUUGAAAUGAGUAUAAUGGGUGAACUUAACUUUUUCUUAGGUUUACAGAUCAAACAAAGUCCAAGUGGAACCAUGAUCCAUCAACAGAAGUAUGCAAAAGAGCUUAUCAAAAAGUUUAAAAUGGAUGAAUCAAAGGAAAUAGACACCCUCAUUGCAACUGCCACUAAAUUAGACAUAGAUGAACCCGGUUUAUCAGUUGAUCUAAAGUUGUAUAGGGGUAUGAUUGGUUCACUCUUAUAUCUUACUUCCAGCAGACCUGACAUAGUUUUCAGUGUAGGGCUUUGUGCUCUCUUUCAGUCUAAUCCAAAAGAGUCUCACUUGAUUGUUGUCAAGAGGAUACUAAGAUAUUUGAAAGGCACCACUGAUUUGUAUCUUUGGUAUCCUAAAGGUAGUAAUUUAAAUCUAGUAGGAUAUGUUGAUGCUGAUUAUGCAGGUUUCCUUGUGGAUAGGAAAAGCACCUCAGGUAUGGCUCACUUUCUUGGUUCAUGUAUUGUAUUAUGGGCCACUAAAAAAGCAAAAUUCAGUGGCCAUAUCCACUGCUGAGGCUGAAUAUGUUGUUGAUGCCUCUUGUUGUGCUCAAUUGCUACGGAUCAAACAACAACUAGUAGAUUUUGGCAUUGAAGUUGGUUACAUUCCUAUAUUCUAUGAUAACACUAGUGCUAUAAGUAUGACAAAGAACCCUUUUCAUCAUAAGAGUACUAAGCACAUAGAUGUUAGACACCACUUCUUAGGAGAUAACUAUGAUAAAUGAUUGAUCUACAUAGAAUUUUGUGCUACUGAUAAACAAAUUACUGACAUCUUCACUAAAGCACUGAGUAGAGAAAACUUUAAGAGGAAAAGGUUGGAAUUAGGGAUGAUUAAGAUCACCUAAUAGGUCCAGCUCAGAAUGCACAAUGAAAAUAAUUAUGAAAAAAAAACCUUGAAAAAUGAAAAAAAUAUUUGGCUAGGAAUUCUGAACUUGUGUAAUAUCUAGAUUAAUUCUUAUGCAGUUUCAUACUUUAAUUAGUAUACUCCUGUGACAUGUGUUUAUAUGACUCACUAAUCUCUUACAAAAUUUUCUCUAUUAUGGCAUUUGAGGCAUGUUUAAGAGACUUCUAAAUGAAGAACCUGGUUCAUCAGUAUGGGUUCAUAUGAAAGCUCAGGUAUAUUUUCUAUACUCUGCACAAUUAGAAAGAUUAAUAUUUAAAUCAUGAGAAGAAGUCCUAUAAUUGUUCAAUUCAUAGAAAAUUAUAUCUGUUUGCUUUGAACCAGUUCUGUCUUCCUAGAACUCUAAACCGAAAAUGUUGCCUAAAAUCUAGGGAAGAUAAACCGAUCAUUCAAAAUCUGGAAUUUCAGGUUGAUUAGACUUCUAAUUGACCACUACUAAAAGCUAUCGUUACCUAUUAAAUGUGUAUUUCUCUUUAAAUACACAUCUUUCUCCUGCCAUCUUCAUAAUUCCAAACCGUCAAAAAUUCUUCUUCACUUUAACUUGCCCUCUUCUCUAAAACUCUAAUUCCCAAAUUCUCUCAACAAACCAACGAUCACGACUAAUCCACAAGACAAUCCUGGAACACCUCCACCACCAACUCCCUCAAAUUCAUCCACACCUCCUCUACCCAGUACAUCUCCAAAACCUAGACUGCGAAGGGUGAAAAUGCUUGCUCAAAAGACUGUAACACCUGGGGCUCUGAGGAAGAAAUUAAAUGAGAAGUUCAAGGCAAGCCAGGCCCAAAACUCCGACUCCAGCUCUGAUUCUGAAUCAUAUCAAUCCGCUACUGAGGGGGAAGGGCCUGGGUCUUCUGACUCUGAAAAGACUCAAGAAUCUCUAUCUAAGGUAAUUUAUUCUGUGUCUGAAAAUCUAGAAACUAGGUUUGUUCUGGUUGGGUGUGUUAAGGAUGUAGAAUUACCAGGGUCACGAAGAAGUGGAGGUAAAAAUAAUUCUGAAAAAGAAAAAGAUAGAGAGGGUACAUGUGGUGAAGAGAGGGGAAAUGGGAAAUGAGUAGUGCCUGCUAUUUGUGGGGUUGCACAAAAAAGGGUAGAAGAGAGUGGCAUGAUGUCAGGGGGAAGUGGUUCUGGGGAAGCUACUGAGGGGUUGGUUCAUCUGAGCAUACAGAGAGAUGAACAUGUUUCAUCUACUGAAGAGACCCUAGCAGACCUGCUGAAAAAGGUUGGGGCAAGCUAUGACCCAAAGAAAUGCAGAACUCCCACAACAAAAGCCCCCAAUGUUCCUAAGCCUUCCAUGAAAAGAAAGGCUUCAUCCCCAACACCUACUGCCUCUUCAUUGCCAAAGGGUAGAGCCACAAGAAGCAGGGUGAAACAGAGUGAAGCUAAUCUGCAAAAGGCUUUAGCUGAAAGUAAGAAAAAGAAAAUGGAUAAAAGGAAAGGGAAAGAUUGCAGAAUCCUCAGAGGAUGUUGAGGAAGAGGAGAUGGAACUGGUCCAUUAAGAAAGGGGUACAUCAGUAGAGGUUCCUACCCUCAAGCCCAAAAAACCCAAGACCUCCUUCAAGAAGUUUUCCUCUGUGUCUGAGGUUGUUAAACCUACACUAGCCAAGAGACCAAGAUCUGUAGUGAAAAACAAACAAUCAAAAAUUUCUGAAGAUGAUGACUGGAGUGGAAAAGAAGAAGAAAAUGAUUCUGAGAAGAAAUAAGGUAAGCUUGCCAUGUUUGGCAAAAGAAAAAUUUUAAAGGGGAGACUGCUAAAAGACCCAGUGAAACCAGGCAUGAUGAGAUUGGUGGAUGUUUUUGCUGCUCAGGGAUGGAAGGACAUGGUCCUUCAUAUGGAUGGUAGGCUAGCCAGAAAUGAACUAAUUGAAUUUAUGGUUCAUGCUGUGGUUAAGGAUGGCUGUGUUAGUAGCCUGGUGAAAGGAGUUCAAGUGCAGUUUGAUGCAAAGAAACUGGGAGAGAUCGUGGACAUACCCUUUGAAGGGUUUGAUGACUAUACAAGGCAAAGGUGGCCCUGCCUGGACUCCCUCCCUAAUGCUCUUGCAAUCACCAGGAGGUUUUGUGAUUCAGAAGAUGUGAAUGAAGCCAGGGUUGUGCAGAAAAGUGAAAUGAGGCCUAAGCACAAGAUCUUGUUUGAAUUUGUCAACAAGUAUUUAUUGCCUAGACAGGAGAGAAGGCACAUUGCAAAUUACAUGGAUCUAGUUCUUAUGGAGUGCCUGGAGAGAGGAAAGCAAAUCAAUUGGCAUGCCUUCAUUAUCAAGUUGUUCGACGGGAUCAUAAAUGGCUCCAAGGCUCAUGCUACUCCCUAUGGAUUUAUUCUAACCACAGUUCUGGAUAGGCUCAAUGUGCCUCUAAAGAAAUGGGAAAUGGCCUCGAGCAAGGAUCACUUUGGCAUCAAUACUUUUCUUGCUUGUGACUAUGUAGUCAACUCCAUCCCAAAUGAACCUGGUUCAUCCCAUAAGGCACCCAUCAACAGCAAAGUUAGGACUCUAGUUCAGGAAUGUGCAGCUAAGGAUGCUGAAAUAGCUAGGCUAAAGGCUCAUGUGACUGAAGUGGAAUCUGAGAGGGAUGAUCUCAGAACUGAGCUUGCUAAAGAAAAGGAGAAGAAUGAUGGAAUUCUUCACAACAUGUUGAAUCUUCUCCAAACCCAAACCCAGCCCUCUAGUUCCUCCAAGCCUUAGGACUCCUAGCUUUUGUCUACUGAACUUGUUUAGUGCCUCAGUGACCCAGAUUAGGGAUUUUUCUAUAUUUUGUUUUUGCUCAUGGUUUGGAUUUUUUUCUUUCUUUUUGUGGAUUAUUGGUGGCAAUAUAUCUCUGUCAAUGAUAACUACUGUUUUGCUCAUGUUCAAGGAUUAAUCUGUCCUUGAUAGUUUAAAUAUGUUUGCUUGAUUACUGAUGAUUACACCAUGAUUGCACUUGCAAUAGCCCCAGUGGCCAUGAGUACUUAUUAAAAUAUGGGAAUCACACUUAUUAUGCAACUUUUCGACGAUGCAAAAAGGGGGAAGAGACAUUGUGCUUUACAUUUUCUGAAAUAAGUGAUAUUUAUAACCUAAUUAACCAGGUCAUUGAUGAUAAGUGAAUUUUCUAAGUUUAGUAUUGAUGGUUAAGCUGAGUUCUUACAUGUUCCAAAUCAGUAAAAAGCACAGAGUUUGUCACCAUAAAAAGGGGAAAUUUGUUGGCCCAAGAACAGGUGAAGUUUUGAAGAUUGACAAAAGAACUCAGUCAUGGACCAGGUCCAUUUUGUGAAGCAACAGUCAUGAUCAACCUAUACAUGUGAGAUGCACGUGAAGGAGAUAAGUCCUACUGAUCAAGCAACAAUAUUUCUUGAUCUGAUCGAAAAGGUUGCAUAUUGAAUAAGGGGAGAAAGUCUCCUUAUAUAAAGGGAACACAAUCUAGGAUGCAAAUAGUGUUAGAGUUUGAGAUCAUUAUGAACUCUUCCACGAUAGAAGAGCAGCAAUUGAGUCCCAAACAAACUUUGAUUACUAACCUAUUAAAUCUAAGUGUUGUUCUCUUUUACAUGUAAUGCACAUACGCAGAAGUUAAACUAAAUUGACUGUAAAAGAGCAAGGCGAUUUUGCAAGCAAUUUAUGUGUAAUUUGAGUGUGCACUCCUGAAGCUACUUGAACAAGAUAGAAGAACCAGUUCGAUUGUGUCUAUCUUUUAUCCUAGUUCAAUUGUAGUAGGUGGUUUAAAAUUAUACCUUUCAUCUUUCACAGAAGCAAUUGUAUUAGGUACCUAGAGUAUUCAAGUUAUAGCUAACUUGAAGUUGUCGUAACAAUUGAGGCUGUGUGCCACAACGGGAUUAGAGUUAAUCCGUAGGUUUAAAAAGAGUUUUUGUAAAUGAUAUUUUGGCUCAGUGAUUUUAGUGGAAGUUUGGAAAAAUCCUACAGAGUAGUAGGUCGUGAUUUUUUUACCUUUUGAGCAAGAUUUUUUCCACAUAAAAAAUCUCCGUAUACUUUAUUUUCUGUAUUUAUUAUUCAGCAAAUAGUAGUAGUUGGAACACCUAGAAGAAUCAGGUUUUUCUAUAGUUCAGUUAAGCAAAAAUUGGGUACCACACAAACCACCCCUCCCCCCUAGUGUGGUAUUGACGCUUAAAACAUCAUUGUUGCUCAACAAUCAAUAGCUCAAGACCGAUUUUAGAAAUCUUGAGAGGCAAAUAGGGCAGUUAGCAGCAAAUCAAAAUACUAGACCUGCUGGAGCUCUCCCUAGUGAUACAGAGCCUAAUCCUAAGGCUCAAGUCAAUGCGGUUAUCUUGAGAAAUGAAAAAGAAUUAGAAGAAGUUUCAAAGAAAAAAAAGUAUACAGCUAGACCUGAAGGAGAAUUAGUUCCUAAACCCUUUGAGGAGAGUAAGAAAGAAAAGCCAGAAAUUGUGACAAGGCCACCACCUCUGUUUCCACAAAGACUUCAAAAGAAAAAAGAUGAUGCUAUGUACAAGAAAUUCUUAGAUAUUUUGAGUCAAGUGCGUGUGUAUUUGCUUUUGGUGAAAAUUUUGCAAGAAGUGCCUAAGUAUGCAAGGUAUCUUAGGGAUAUUGUGGAAAACAAGCGAAGACAUACAGAGUUUGAAACAAUUGCACUUACUGAAGAGUGCAGUGCUAGAGUUCAGAGUAAAUUUCCACCUAAGUUGAAGGAUCCUGGGUGUUUCACAAUUCCUCUGUCUCUCGUAAAAUAAGAUGUUGGUAGAGCUGCGUGAUUUAAGGGCUAGUAUAAAUUUGAUGCCAUCCUCUUUGUUCAAGCAACUCGAAUUGGGGGUGCUUAAACCUACUACAUGCCAUAAGGAAUUAUUGGGGAUGUGUUAGUUCGAGUGGGAAAGUUUAUUCUUCCUACUGAUUUUAUUGUUCUUGAUUACGAGGCAGAUGAGGAAGUACCUAUUAUUAUGGGGCGACCAUUCUUAGCUACUAGUGGAGCACUUAUUGAUGUAAGGGAAGGGAAGUUAAAGAUGAGAGUUGGCGAUGAGGAAAUCACUUUUAAUGUGUACAAGACACUUAUCUCCCUAAGCAUUAUGAAGACUUGUGCAUGUUUACUACGGUAGAACUGAAGGGGAUAAAACAAAGUCCUUAUGCGAAUUGUAGUGAUUCGGAUGGGACAACUAAAUUGGAGGAGGUGGUGUUGCAAGUUGAGUGUGUAAUGAUGAUUGAGAAAAGAGCCAGAGAUAAAAGAAGAGACCUUCUGACAUUGUGUAAAAAGGCUAGGCUUAAUGGGAGAAACAAGAAGAGAAAGCGCCCAGCCUGAACAGAGUAGCAGUGUCGUGCUGCGACGUUAAAUCAGGCACUUGUUGGGAGGCAACUCAUCUUUACUAUUUUCUUUUAGUUUUUUUUUUCUUAUUAUUGUUGUAGUAUUUUUUUUUGUUUUGUAGGAUUAUAAGAAUAGGAAGCACAGCCAUUGGAAGAGUACAAAAUCGAGUUAGAUAGUGAGAACUAAGUGUGGGGUGCCACACAAAGGACGAUGCCUGGGGAAGUCAGAGUACCUUGUCAGCUGCUAUUGCUUCUGCCUUUGGCAUACCAGGGAAUCUCUUUUACCCUCUUGUUAUUUAUAGUAUGCAUUGAGGACAUUGCACAAUUUUAAGUGUGGGGUGAGGAUAUUGUUUGGGUGAAUUUCUGUGCUAGCGUAGCUUAUUAUUCGUUCUUAGUGUAGAGUUUUUGUUUAAGAAAAAUAAAAUAGAAAAUUGAACUUUUCCCGACGAUGGAUCUCCUAGACAGUUUUCUUGAGGUAUUAAAUUCCUCAGAAAAGCACAAAAAGAUUUUCUUAGCCUUGAGUAGUUAGUAAAUAUAAUCUAUUAGGCAAUAAUCCCCUUUGGUUUUUCUUUGGCCAUCGGUUCUUUUCCAAGGGAUGAAUUUUUGAACGGGGUAUUAGUUUUUCUUUUUAGAGUAGUGUAGCAUGUAAAGACUCAGACUAAAUUCAGCAUAUUCUGUGACUUGUUUAAUAUUAACAGAGUUAGACCUGAGCAUGUGGAUUAUAACUUUCUCCAUUAGUUUGUGAUGACUGUUUUUGCCUUUAAAAGUUGAAUAGCUUCUUCGUGACGCUUAGGCUCAUUGUCUUAACUCCUGUGCUAAUUGUUGUGCUGUGUGCAUUAUAAAUUGGGACUUAACUCAGUACUUGCUUUAAUUGAAAGUUGAAAUGUAGUCAUCCUAAGAGAAACAUGUGCCAAUGUGUGGUGAGAUUUUUUGUAUAAGUCUCGUGUUGUACAUUUGUGUCUAGAACUUGCCCGGUAUGUGAGUUGAAGCGAAAUCCUAGGUUCUGCUGGGUUUGAAAUAUAAUUUUAGGCCUUCUUUGAUCCUUUUGAACUAUAAUGCUACUACAAAUCAAAUCUAUCCCUAGUUAACCCUUUUGAGCCUAUAUACAUUUGGCACCCACAUCACAAGCCUAUACACUUUUUGUUCUUAAUUAACAUUGUUUUGAUCCUUUACCUCUUAAAGUACUUUAACUGUAAAAUGAACACUAAAAGAAGUAAGAAGGGACUGGGUGUGUGGUGGCUUUUGAGUGGAACCAAUAAAAAAAAGGGUGCAGUUAUUUUGUAAAAUAAUACACCACUAGCGAAAUUUGGAAAAGAAAAAAAAAAGAAAAAGAAAAAUCUGAAAAAAAAGAGAUAAGAAAAAGUGAAUAAAUUGUUGUUCUAUUCUUGCUAGUGGGGUAUACAUUAAGGUAGUGCUUAAAGAAAAAGGAAACUUUAUUGGGAGUGAUUUUUGUUGAAAAAUGGAAGUUGGGAUUGAAGAAUUUGCGCUCAAAGUUGAUUAUAUGAUGUGUUAAAGUGCUUAGGAGGGUGAAUUACCAUUCCUAAAUAUAUCCUACCCAUCCCUUAGUCCACAUUAUAACCAUGAAAAGUCCUAAUUAAUUUGAGAUCGAGGAAGCCUACAUUAGUAGAGAUUUACAUUAAGGGCAAGCAUAUGGUACCUUUUGUGCGCAUGUGAACUUCAUUGAGAGAGUGAGAGAAUUCUUCUAAUGUUUUGAAGUCCUUAAAUUAUGUUCAAAUUUUAUUUGAGUGUGCGGACUAUCUUUCUCGAUUUUGUGGUGAAGGCACAUGUUUCAUGAUGGAUAGGCGACUUUAUUAAACUUUUCAGUUAGAGCGAGUAAGUUGGCCUGAAAGUAGUUAUCCUAAGGAUUCAGUUUCUUGGGUUUGAGAUGUCCCGAAUGUGCAAUUUGAUUGCUUUGAAUCGUUUAAUAGCGUACUAGGCAUAUUAUUAACAUGGAGAAGGAAGUACGAGAAUGCAUAUGAAAGGGGCUAAUUGUUGGUAUCAACGAAAGUCAUAGGUGCAUAAGAUUAAUUGAAAUGUGUGGCUUGAUAGCGAUACGCUUAAUUUUGUUCGAUCGGUUGUGGGUUCAUUCUACUUUGCUCGAGGACGAACAAAGGUUUAAGUGUGGGAUGGUGAUGUUGGGCAUAUUUCUAUAUGUUUUGAUGUUACUUUACCAAUGUUUUAACCGCUUUUUGUUGCUAUUUGGUGUUAACAAUGCCCAAUAUGGUUUAAUUAUUGGUCUUAUGACUAGUGGAGUUGUGUGUGAUGAUUUAGGGUGUUUGGAGAGCAAAAAUAUGAAGAAAAGAUGCUCCAACUAGCGGAGAAGAGGUUGGAUGCGUCGCAUCCAACCUUUUGAAGAAGGUUACAUGGUGCACCCCUUAGCAGUGAAGUCGGCCCACAGCAUCCCCAUAGCAUCCGCACCUGGGCAAAGCUGAGAUAGAGGAACAAAGGGUGGAUGUGAAGCAUCCACCCUACAAUGCAAAGCUGAGAAGUGGAGGACGAGGUGGAUGCGAAGCAUCCACUCCAGCAUCAAUCCCUGAAGCAUAUUCGAACAAGAUUAGGAGAACAUUGGUCCACGACUUUUCUACGCAAUAUAUAAGCCAAAACACCUCUUUUAGGUCAUCUAACAUAUUGGGAAAGGAGGAAAAGCCACGACAAAGCUUGGGAACCACGGAAUUCUUCUUGAGUUCUUACUUUUUCCUUCUUUUAUUGAUUUUUAUGUGUUUUUGGGAAUUACUUGAAAUUGUUACUAUGAGCAUGCAUAGCUAAGAACCCUAUUAUUCUAGGGUCAUGGGUGAAACUUGAAUUUUGAUGUUUGAAGUUUAAUUUGAUGAAGUUGAUUUUAUCAUAUUGGGUUGUUUAUUUAAAUCUAUUUUUAGUUAUUUUGCUGAGUAGCUAACAGUGAAAUACUAUCUACGAAUCUAGAGUUGAACUGGAAAGUGGGAAUUCUAGAUUGCAUAUAGAAUUAAAUAGAGCAAGUUCUUGAACCCGAGCAUCGGGGAAAAGAUUUGCAAUUAGGAUAGACAUAUACCUAAUUGUCUUGCUUGGUUGAAAUACAGGUAGUAUAAAGGCAUUUUUGUUAACCUUAAUUCCAUAGACAUAUAGGAAUUAAGUUAUCUUGAAUAGGCGAGUAAUAAUUUGAUAGAUUCUUAUGAGCAAUAUCAACCCUGUCAAUCAACAAUCCAGAUAAAUCAAUUAGUCAUUUUAAGCCAAGAGCGCAACACGAUUGUUAGCUAACCCGUGACCCUGGUCAUUUUAAGCCAAGAGCUCAACACGAUUGUUAGCUAACCCGUGACCCUAGAAUAUUCUCUCCUACUGAUUGUUAUUUGAAAUUGCUAUUUGUUUGGUUGAUUUCUAGUUAAUUCAUUGCUUGAUAGUUUUAGGUAGUAAAUUAGUCACUUCUAUGUUUUGUGAAAAAUCUCUUGAAUCGAUAAGUUAAUUGAGUUUGACUCAGUCAAUAGUUAAUCACAAGUCUUCGUAGGAAUGAUACUCUACUCCCUACCUUAUUACUUAACGAUCGCGUACACUUGCGUGACUAUUUUUGGUCACAACAUGAGCGUUCCGGAUUUGCACCUCGAGGGCAGAAGACUUAGCCAAAGCAUCCUCCUUGGCUGCAACUUGGGCAUCUACUUGAGCCUUCAACUCAUUAAUCUUACGUUUGGCUUGACCAACUUCGCCCCAAAGACGUUCCAACUCCUCCAUUUUGCUCUCCAACUGAAAUAUCAAAACAUUAAUCUCUAAAAAUGAAAGGGGGGCAUACAUCAACCUGAAAUACAGGUUACCUGUAUUUGGAGACGGCUUUCAUAGUUCCGACUUCUAUCCGCCUCACACCACAGGUAUACCAGCUCACCUUUCUUUCUCUCAUAAAGGAUCCUAAGGGAUCUCUCCCUAUCCAAAACUUUCCGCAGCCUGGCCUCAUGGCGAAGCAGCUCGGACUUAAGCUUGCCAAAGGCCUACAAAGGAAAAUUCAAUAAGAAAGGAAGGGAGCGAAACUGAGAUAUGCAUAUACCGGCUACUGAAGCUUACCAUAAAGCCAAGCCACUGAGCCUCAACAAAGGCCCAGCCAAUGUUCGAUGGCCCAGUAUUCCCCGAAAUUCCCUUGGUACAAAAAGAGGAAGGCGUCGCAUGACCCUCGCUCCUCGAAAUACCUUCGACGGGAACGGGAAAUGAUCUUUCAGAAAUAGAGGCCUCCGAAGUCGGAAGAUUGGCUGAAUCGCCUCUUUUGAACCUCAGAAAAGGACUCGCCCUGCCAUGAGCAUCCUCACACCUCAGAGACUCUUUUCAUUUAUUUUCAACCCUCGACCCCAUGUUUGGCAGUCUCUCCUUCUCCUCUAGAGGGCACGGUCUCAUUUCGGAAAAAUCUCCAACACCUUCGGCGAUAGAGUUAGUGCGCUAAAAAGGAAGGUACCUUUCUGAGGAAAUAAUCCAAUAAACGCCUACCGUGAUGUUUUGCCUCUCAUCUCUCCUUGGACAGGUCUCGCCACCUGCGCUUAUCAUAGGUCGAACAAGCUGUUAGUUUGCGGGACCAUUCAGCCAGAUCAGUGAUCUCAUUUGGCAACCAAGGAAUCGCUACACUGAAUAAGAUAGACAGACGCCUUUAUAGAGUCCUCCCCACUAUGGAUAAAGCAAUAAAAAUAUAGGUACGCCACUUAUAUGUGAAAUUGCAUUUCUCAAUAAAUGGCAAGAACUCUCCAGGGACAAUGUCAAUGUUUGUGCUUGAACAAACUGGCCCAUCCACCCCCGGUCCCCGUCCUCUUCAUCUAUAAUGGCAAGGGAACGAGUGGAUCGACACCGCAAGGUAAUCAAGCCCCGUUAAUGCAGUGUCCGUUAUAACCUAAUGAGCUGGCUGAGGGAGAAUUCAAGCCUGGCCUUAUUCGCAAAGUACCUUAUCAUCAGCACUAUCUUACAAAUGGAUGGAUGAACCUGAGCCAGAGCCAGGGUAACCUGAUAUCUCCUACAAAACUCAAGCAUGACGCUGUCAGGGGGACUCGAUGGAAAAGGAUGCGUAUACACGCUCAAACACCCCUCGACAUGGGUCAUGAUAUUCUUUUCCGGGAAAGGUAACUAUAGUACCACUCCUUCUCCCCAUCCGCAAUCUUUUCUAAUCAUCUCGAGGUAUUCCACCCUUAUCAAGGAGAUGAACCUCGAUACGUGCUCCCGAUGCCCUUGAACAUUAGGAGGUCUCUCCAACGUAAAGUCUCUCCUCAAAAUAAAGCACCUCGAGGCUCGUUCACCAGGUAACAGUAGUGUACCACUGACCGAACACAGAACAGAGGUAAAACUCCCCUCUCUUUGAUAGGCGGAUGUCGAUGUAGCAUCCAUGGCUACGGUAAAACAGGAAUAGGAGGAUGAAGGUUUAGGCCAAGGCUUUAAGUCGAAAUGGUGAGAGAACUCACACAAAGAACAAAGUUCUAUGGAAGAAAUAGUUACUCUGAAUAGCAAAAUCUCCAUUUGAGAAGUAAGCGAGUGAAUAUGUAAAGGUAGGCAACGACUGCUUACCUACCCAGAAGACCAAUUAAUUCUGGCCAUGACAGCGUCACCGUUUUUGGGAAAUGUACAGGCAGGACCACCCCGGGGGUCCCACUAUCAGGUCACGUGAAUGUUGCUGUCGCACGAAGUUUGGGAGGUAUCGAGAACCCGAAGUUUUUCAUGCUAUUGUCACACCUCCUUUUUCUACCCCGAGAGGGAUAUAAGGGAGUUUUUCCAAUUGUUUACCAUGAAAAUGGUAAUGACAAUUAAAUUUGUUGAUGGGACUCUAAAAAUACGUGAUCUACUUUUAUGCAAGUUUGUUAGGCAGUUGAUGUUAGUGGUAUGAGACCUAGAGACAAAAUAAAGUAAAGAGAGAGCUAAAUCAAUCCGAUAGGUUAGUUACUUGAGGACUCGGGCCGAUCAAUUUGGGGCCUCGAGGUCGAUUCUGAGGCUCAGACUCGAGCUAUUGUGGGUGACUGGGGUAGGGAUAACAUGUAUGGAAUAAUCAACGAAGACUCUUUAUGGCCGAUGAUGAGCAAUAAAUGAUGAAUAAAUGUGGAGAUAAUAAAUGGGAGAAAUAAUAUCGAGAGAGUAUGUUUGAAGGGAAAGAGAAGAUUCUUGUAUAUUUCUUAUGGAACAGCUGAAGCAACAGGGUUUAUAAAAAUGGUAGGAGUGCCCCUUAUAUAUUAGGGGAAUCAUAACAUAGUACAGAAUACAUUAACUACUCAGAAAUGGGGAUGAGACAGCUAGAUAUGAUAUCCUAACGUCUUACGUUGGGUCUAGAAUAGCCCACUAGGCUCUGUCAGUCUAUCCAAGUAUCUUGGGAACUUUCCUCUUUUCUAAUGUAGCUGUUGGUCUGUACUGCCCCGAGACUAGGCCCAGAUGACCCUUGACAGUGAGCCUCGACCUCGGUCUCGAACCUCGAAAAGCACGUUCGCAGGGAACCAUAAUGACGAGAAAAUUGGACCCCCCCCCCCCCCGAUUUUGCCGUACACAGAUAGUCUUCGCAUUUCUUAGAGUGAAAGUGAUAAGAAACGACCUUGAAUUUCUUCCCCCUCUGAUUCUCUCGUAACACGUUAGUCACAAGGCACCAAGACACGAUGCACAUGCAGCCCCUGAAGAUUUUUGCAUUGACUAUGGAUGUUGGAUGUCUCUUGGCCUUCUUCAAUGCGCAUGCGGCAUUUCUAUAAGUACUCCCUUUCUGGUUUUCUAUAACUCAUUAUAUUCCCAAACCUCAGAAAAGGUUCAUUCUUCCUUCGCUUUCAUUUUUUCUUAGGAACAUAACUCUCCUUCUUGUUUUGGAAAUUUCUAAAAAUGGCGAUGACUUUCGCCUCUGCUUCUUAGGAGGUUGUUGCCUCGUCCUCUUCGCUCCUAUCUCAAGGUGAAGUGACAAUGCCUCCUCGUGCGGAGGAAUGUGUUCCAGGGUCUUUCGCGAUGGCUUCUGAUUUUCGGGCCAAGAGACCUUCUUCAAAGCUAGGGCGCAGCGAGCCCAUGACUCAGUAUAUUAGCUCGAUAACAGACAUCGGAAGAGUGAAAAUUGAUUUUCGCUGGGGUAACACAGUGCUUGUUGAGAUCCCUUCUUCUUCGGAGGAUAUUAUGACACACAAAAUAGGUUUCCUCAGUAUAUACACCUAUCCGUUUACUCUAGGUCUGGUGGGUCCAUCUUUGCCCUUGAUCGACCCCGUGAUUCUCGACUUCUAUCAACGAUGCCAAGUGACUCUUGGCUAGAUUCAUCCUUUAUUCUGGCGCGUUGUUUACUUGAUCAUGUACUACGCAACCGUGAUCGGGGAGAUGCCCUUCACCUUUGACCAUCUGAUCAGGAUGUACAACCCCCGUCUCUUCUGUGGGGUUCUAAUCAAACUCCGCUACCAAGCCCCGAGGUCCCUCUUUGCCUGCACCGAGGAUCUUGGAAUGGGGAGGGAUGGAUAAGCCGUUUUGUCCGAGUAAGGACUUCUGAUAUGAUCCCGGCGGAAAAGAUAUCGUUCCCUGAGAGGUGGAAUAUGGAGCAUAAGUAGACAUGUUACAUUGCCUUCCCUUGGCUAUGUUCCUUUAAGCAUUUAACAUAUAUAUAUAUAUUUCUUUGUUACUGUAGUCGCAGCAAUUUACCAUGACGCGGUUUUGGAUCUCUAGGAUUGGAUAGGUCAUCUGUACUCGAUUUGCCCGUAUGCUAAGCGAGUGUGGAGUGAUUUAUCCCAGCCCCUAUGGGAAGUCAAGGAUCAUGGUGAGCCUCUACCUUGGAUGUAGUCAUCAUUUUAGACUUAAAUCGUUACUGGCGGCGCUCUUAUUCCCAGUGCUUACCUCUUGCCUUUGUGUAGGUUUGGGGGAAGUCCCCUUGACGAAGGGAGCUUUACUCGGCAGGGAAGGCGCUUUGGUAAUCGAUGAAGGGGAGAAAAGACAAGGGGAUCCAUUGGACGGACCUUCUGAAUCUAAGAGGAUUAAGGCAGAAGAGACUAAGGCCGACUCGGCAGAUCUAACCCCGAAAAUGGCGGGAAACCCUCGAGUUGAGGGUGAGGAGGAAAACAGCUUCUCGAUGAUGCCCGAGGGAGGGAUAAACCUGGCCGAUCCUAGGGCCGUAAAGAUUGUGGCUUCUGAGCUGGAGACUGAUGACGUUGCGGUCCCACUUUGUGGCGGAGAGACAAUUGAGGGAGUAUCGGGUUCUGCCUCCGAGAUGGUCUAUGGUCAGGGUUCUCCUCGAUCUGAGGUGCUUCGUUAGGUGGUUUGGAGGGGCCUAGUCUAGGGACCCCGAAUAGACAAGGGAUGGCCCUGGCUGACCUUGCCAGCACUGUAGUCGUGAUUGAUUCUCCUCAGGGAAUGACCCUACAUUUUAAAGGAGUGCAGGAUGCCCCGUGCAAAGAAUCUCCUGAUGCACGGAUGUUUGUCAAAGCCUAAGAUGUGCCGAAAAGGCUCGCAACCAUUCCUGAGAGAGUUCAUGAGAUCGAUGCUUCCCUCGUCUUUGGUGAAAUGAGUAGGCUUUGCAAGUAGGUAAGCUUUGCUUUCCCAAUCUAUCGCUCGGGCCUCGGUUGCCUCGACCUUUUUCUUUCUAACUUGUCUUUUUUCAUGGCCUUAGGCCAAGGUGCUUUACAAUCAGACUUUCACCCAGUAUCAGGUCGAGGUGACCCACCUCGAGCGUGAGAAGGCUCUCCUUAAUGAGCAAGUUAUCUAGUCCAUGUUUGCCUUUAUUUGAACGUUUUCCCAAUCCCAGUGUUUUAACAUCUCGAAUUUUAUUUGUGUAGUUCGAGAAGGAACACGCCCUGUUGAGGGAGGAACUUCAGGCUAGAGACUCUUAAGUCUCUGAACUUAAACGGCGUGAGAGAGAUAUAUAUCUUCCGAGAGGGAUGCUAUCCAAGAGAAGGUGAUAUUAGUUGGGCGUCAUCUUAGUAAGGCGAGGGAGGAUAGUGGCAAGUACAGAGGUCUCCAUUGCGAGCUGGUGGCUGCAUUAUCCAGGAUCAAGAUUGAAGUCGACACACUUAUAUCUUUGCAUGGAGAAGAUGCCAUCAUGACAAGCGUCUGAGGGGAUCGAGCUGAGGUUGAAUCGGGCAGUGGAUAUACGUGUGGGAGAUAUCAUUUUUCCUGCUGAGUUUGAGAGAACGGAGACCUUGGAGAAAAGAGAUGAUGCCUUGCUUGCUUUUGGGGGUGUGCCGAGCGGUGGCUUAGGAGGUGACAAAAGAGAAGGCGGAGCCCCCAGAGGAGAGGAGACCGUCGAAAAGAGGCCGUUGAAGGACCCGUAGUCGUUAGGAUGCAACCUUCGGUGGAGACACCGGAGACCUUCCUUUCGAUGGUAGAUUAAGAUUCUGUUUAGUUCUCUCUUUGUAAGGGUUUUUUCAUGACUUGUAAACAUCCCCCUUGAGGUUAUAAGAAGGGUUUCUAUUUUCUGUUCCUCCCUUCCUUUUUACUUUUCAGAAAUGCUAUGUGAUGUUCUUUGACUAUUGAACAGGAGUCCCGUCUUCGGGUUAGACCCUCGGGCUUCACUAUCAUCGAGACUGCUGAUAGUGACUCAUACACACUGAGUUGGUUACUUCUUAUAGUAACUAUUUCAGGUUCAGUAUCCGAGUUGGGUUUCAACUCGAGCUCAACUGACCCUCAAGUUUUCGAAUUUCACGUUGGCGACAGUGGCUCUUAUGCUUUAGGUCGAUGCGACCUUUUGUGUGUAUGGCCCUAAGGCUCAUUAGACUGGCAACAAUGUCUCUUAUGCUCUGCCCUUAGGCAUAUAUAGUUAACUAUUUUGGGUACGGUGUUUGAAUCGGGUUACGACUCAAGCUCAUUUUGACCCUCAAGUUUUGAAUUUCAAGCUGGCGACAAUGGCUCUUGCGCUUUAGGUCGAUGCGACCUUUUGUGUGUAUGGCCCUAAGGCUCAUUAGGCUGGCGAUAAUGGCUCUUACGCUCUUGGUCGAUGCAGCCAUUUAUGUAGUCUUUAUUUUCCUCUCGUUAAGGACUUUUGAAGUAAUUUUUGCCUGACUCGUCGUCGGUUCGGGAAGAACCUCAAUUUUGAGUAACUCCCGGCGAUGUUCGAGCACCUUGGGAGGUUUGGAUCGGAGGCUGAGUAGCUCGAUGCUUGUGAUUUGGAGAUGACAUGGUCGAAGCUCUUCUGCCUAUGCCGAGGGUAGCCUGUUUAACUAGUUCUUUCCAAAGUAGAUUCGGAAUAAUUGAAGGCCUGUGUGGGCUGGCGAUAAUGGCUCUUAUGGCUUGUAGUGACGGUCGGGCGUCCCCAAGUCGCAUUAGUUUGGCUAGUACAGCCGUGUGACCGGAGUCACUUGUGUUUGGCCGGAGCCUUUGAGUACUGAGUGAAGUAGUUUCGACAUAUAUAUCGAUGGUAUGCCUUUUUAGGGGUCCUACAAUUUUGAUAUAUAGCCGAAACUUUGAGAUCGGGUUUAUGCCUUUAGUAAGGUCUUACAAGUUUUUCAUAUCAAUGAGAUCUUAUAGGUUUUUCACUUGGUACAAGUGUGGUUCAUGCCUUGCUUGAGGUCUUACAGAUUUUUCAUGUCGUUGAGGUCUUACAGUUUUGUCACUUGGUACAAGUGGGGUUCACCCCUUGCUUGAGGUCUUACAGAUUUUUCAUGCCAUUGAGAUCUUACAGUUUUGUCAUUUGGUACAAGUGUGGUUCAUGCCUUGCUUGAGGUCUUACAUAUUUUUCAUGCCGUUGAGGUCUUAUAGUUUUUACAUGCCGUUGAGGUCUUAUAGUUUUUACAAGACCGAGUCUACCUGCUCGGUGUCUUAUGGCCUCGGAUUUUGAUAAGUCGAUGGAGGUGGCGCUUGACGGCAGUCCCCGAGUCGUCGAGGGUUUCUUUACUCGGGAGCCAUUAUUUGCAAACUUUGUAUUUCCUUAUCAAGGGCUUGCGACUUGGAGAUCCCGACCCUGGGGUCGUGCGAUUUUGGAGAUAUCGGUGCCAGUCCCCGAGUGUUCGGGGCGCUUUUGGCCUUGGAGACGUUUUGUGAUUUUUGUGUUGCCUCGUUGGGGGCUUAUGAGUUUGGAGUUACGACCCUGAGGUCUUGCGGGUAUCUAAUUGUUGACACUAUUCUCCGAGUGUUCGGGACAUCUUUGAUGGAGGAAUCAUUUUAGCAAAAAUGCUGAGUUUCCUUUGGAGCAUGAGAUGCUUUUGACAAAGGGCAUUCUUUGAUUGCUUGAAAUAAGUAUACAUAGUUUUGUCAUUGGGGGACUGACUAUAUAGGCACGUUUUGUUCGACUGUUUGGCCCGACAUAUCAUUUUAUUAAUGAGACCACGGGGGGAUGCCCUCUAGUAUUUGAGGUUGAUUGCAAAAAGAAGCCUGGAAUACUUGUCGAGUCUUCCUUAGGUAGCACGUGGAUGUUGCCUUAAGAGCCUUGCCGAUAAAACCCUUCUAGGGACAAAAUUCGGCCGAAGGAAAAGAGUGCAACAGAUGCUCGAGGAUGUUCUCGGAAUUUUCCAUUGGAUGCCCUAGCAAUAAUAUCAUUUUAGCAUCGAUAUGUUCCAGUUUCUUGGAAGUUGUUCGCCUUCUAUGGUGCCGAGCUUGUAAGACCCUUUGCCGACUACUCCGAGGAUGUGGUACGGUCCUUCCCAAUUUUGGACCUGCUUUUCUUUAUUAGGGUUUAUGGUGUUAAGGGUAACUUUCCUUAGAACCAAGUCCCCAAUUCCAAAAUAUCGGAGGUUUGUUCUCCUGUUAUAAUAUCUUUCGAUUCUUUGCUUUUGGGCGGCCAUUCGGACCAGCGAGGUUUCCCACCUUUCAUCCAGCAAUUCGAGGGUCGUUGUCAUGACCUCGUUAUUCGAGCUCUCAGUGGCAUGUUGGACUCUGGCAAUCGGCUCCCCGACUUCCACUGGUAUUAAAGCCUCGGCGUCGUAUAAUAGAGAGAAAGGUGUUUCCCCAGUGCUCGAUUUUCAAGUUGUUCGGUAUGCCCACAGCGCCUCUGGCAAUAUUUCUCUCCACUUUCCCUUGGCACUUUCCAAUUUCUUUUUUAGGUUUUGGAUGAUGGUUUUGUUUGUGGACUCGGCCUGGCCGUUCGCACACGGGUGGUAGGGUGUUGACAGUAUCCUCUUGAUUUUGUGAUCCUCGAGGAAUUGUGUUACCUUGCUUCCGAUGAAUUGUUUCCCGUUAUAACACGUUAUCACGGAAGGAAUCCCAAAUCGGCACAUGAUGUGGUCCCAGAUGAAGCUGGUGACUUCUUUUUCCCUGAUUUUUUCGAAAGCCUACGCUUCCACACAUUUGGAGAAAUAGUUAGUCAUAAAUAAAAUAAAUCUAGCCUUACCAGGUGUCGUUGGUAGGGGACUGACGAUGUCCAUCCCCCACUUCAUGAAUGACCAUGGCAGUAAAACUGAGUGCAGCCAUUCACUAGGUUGGUGAAUCAGUGGGGCAAAUCUCUGGCAUUUGUCGCACUUCCGGACAAAUUCUUUGGUGUCAUUUUCUAUGUUGUCCCAAUAGUAGCCUGCUCUGAUUACCUUUUGGACCAAGGCAUCCGCUCCAAAAUGAUUUCCGCAGAUGCCCUCGUGAAUUUCUCGGAGUACAUAAUAUGUAUCUCCUGGCCCCAGACAUACGUCUAGGGGGGCAUCAAAAGUUCUUCUAUAUAAAGUCUUGUUUUCAUCGAGAGAGAAUUGGGCUGCUUUGGUUCGCAGGGCCCUCGAUUUCGUUGGGUCCUCGAGCAAUUUUCCGUCUUUCAAAUAAUCAAUGUAUUUAUUUCUCCAGUCCUAUGUUAGACUGGUGGAAUUGAUAUAUGCAUGACCUUCAUCGAUUACUGAUUUAGAUAGCUAGAUGACAGCCCCAGUCAGUAGGUCGUCCUCCUCAACAGAUGAUCCUAAGUUUGUGAGGGCAUCGGCCUUGCUAUUCUGCUCUCGAGGUACAUUGACAAAAGUCCAUUAUUUGAAGUGACGUAACGCGACUUGGAGUUUGUCCAAAUAUCUCUGCAUCCUGUCCUAUCGGACCUCAUAGCUCCCAUUCACCUGGCUCACUACUAGGAGAGAAUCACAUUUUGCUUCAGCGGUCUCAGCUCCUAUGAUUUUGGCCAGUUCUAAACCUGCAAUCAUAGCCUCGUACUCGGCCUCAUUGUUAGUCAAUUUUGUAGUUUUUAUAGAUUGCCUGAUCACGCCGCCCGUAGGUGGCUUUAGGACUAUACCUAGCCCGGAACCUCUCACAUUUGUUGCACCGUCAGUGAACAGGGUCCAUACCCCGAAAAACGUGCCUGAUUUCAGUAAAAGUUCCUUUUCUUCCUCGGGCAUGAGGGACGGUGAGAAAUUGGCCACGAAGUCUGCCAGAAUCUGGGACUUGAUGACUGUUUGAGGUUGAUACUCGAUAUCGUAUCCCCGAGCUCGAUGGACCAUUUGGCCAAUCGACCCGAUAGUUCGGGUUUGUGUAAUAUGCUCCGGAGGGGGUAUGUCAUUAGAACACAAAUGUGAUGGCAUUGAAAAUAGGGUUUCAAUUUUCGCGACGCACUUAUUAAUGUGAGAGCCAAUUUUUCGCGGUGAGGAUACCUAGUUUCAGCAUCCCCUAGGGUCCGACUUACGUAAUAAAUAGGGAAUUUUGUACCUUGCUCUUCUCAAACUAGCACGCCGCUUACCGCUAUCUCGAAUACGAUCAGGUACAGAUAUAGGGUUUCAUCCACUUUUGGUGUGUGGAGCAGAGUUGGGCUAGUCAGAUAUCGCUUUAGCUCUUCUAAUGCGCGUUUGCACUCUGGAGUCCAUUCAAAGUUGUUCUUUCUUUUGAGUAAGGAGAAGAAAUGAUAGCUCCUGUAGGAUGACCUGGAUAUGAAUUUGCCUAAAGCCGCUAUCCGACCUGUUAGCUAUUGCACGACCUUUACAUUGUUUACCACCGUGAUUUCUUCGAUGGCCUUGAUUUUGUCGGGGUUAAUCUCAAUCCCCCUGUUUGAUACCAUGAAGCCUAGGAAUUUGCCCGAACCUACUCCGAAGGCACAUUUCUGGGGGUUGAGCCUCAUGUUGUAACUUCUGAGAAUGUCGAAUAUUUCCUGCAAAUGAGUUAAAUGGUCCUCUGCGCACAGGGACAUAACUAGCAUGUCGUUAAUAUAAACUUCCAUGGAUUUGCCUAUUUUACUUUCAAACAUUUUAUUGACUAGACGUUGGUAUGUAGCCCCUGCGUUUUUAGUACGAAAGGCAUUACAUUGUAACAAUAGGUACCAUACUUUGUGAUGAACGAGGUCUUCUCCCUGUCCUCGGGUUUCAUCUGAAUUUUAUUGUACCCCGAAUAGGCAUCGAGAAAGGUAGGGGUCACAUGGCCAGCCGUAGCAUCGAUCAGACGAUCAAUGUUAGGCAAUAAGAACGAAUCCUUGGGACACGCCUUAUUUAAGUCUUUAUAGUCUACGCAUAUUCUUAACUUAUUUCCCUUUUUGGUUACCACUACUACGUUGGCCAACCACUCGGGGUACUUUACCUCCCUAAUGGACCCUAUUUUAAUGAGUUUCGUUACCUCAUCCUUGACGAAUGCAUGUUUUAUCUCGGACUGGGUUCUUCUUUUUUGCUUCACUGGUUUAAACCUGGGGUCGACACUCAGUCGAUGGGAGGUUAUUUCCGAUGGGAUACCUAUCAUGUCUAAGUGGGACCAUGAAAAACAAUCGAUAUUAUAGAUAAGAAAUGGAAUAAAAUUCUUCAUGAGUUUUGGGAUUAAUACCGUUCCAAGGUAUACCUUACAAUCGGGGAGGUGCUCGAUCAAAACAGCUUGAUCCAAAUCUUCGAUUGUCGAUUUCUUUGCAUCCGACUCUUCGGGGGCAACGAAAGUUCGAGGAACGAGAAAAUCUUCUUCGUCAUCCUCGGGGGUCUGUAUGUUCCCAGGCAUAUCUGAGGUCGGUAGUACAGGGGUCGACUCCACCUAAUAAACUACGAACAUUUCCUUCACUGCACGUUGUUCUCUGUAUAUGGUCGUUAUGCAGGGUUGAUGGUACUGCUCUCAUGUUGUGUAUUCACGGUCUGCCAAGCAAUGCAUCAUAUCUUAUGUCUCCAUUGAUGACUUGAAAGUUUGUGUUUCAAACCGUGGCGGAAGUAUCGACUGGGAGGGUGAUUUCACCUUUUGUUACUUUGCCGGUCAUGUUGAAGCCGAGGAGGACCCGGGAGGCGGGUAUGAUCUGGUCGAGUAACCCGAGCUUCUCUACUACUCCUGACCUGAUCACGUUGGCCGAGCUGCCUGGAUCCACGAGCACACAUUUAACUCGUACCUUGUUUAAAAGGAAUGAGAUUACCAGCGUGUCGUUGUGUGGUUCUGUCAAGGUCACGAGAUCUUCUUCGCUGAACGCAAGGGUAUCUUCGGCCACACGGUUUCUGAUUGGCCCUUCUGUUGUGACGGAUAUUUUUGUCCGCUUCAACAUGGGCCAUUGGGGGAUGUCGACUCUUCCAAUAAUCUUAUGAACAUCGUGCUGGGGGACCUCUUUUUGUGCCCAGGCUAGAAUAGCCACAAUACUUUCUCCCCGGUCUUCCAAGUAGUUUUUUCACCUCUGUCUGAUGAGUCAGGCAUUUCAAUCCUAAAGUUUGAAUAUCUUGGACAAGAAAAAGCGUGAAAGAUAACUUGUAUUAUGUAGUAAAACCAACAAAAAAAUAAUUUCUAUUAUUUUAAGCCCCAUGGUGGGUGCCAAACUGUUACCGUGAAAAUGGUAAUGACAAUUAAAUUUGUUGAUGGGACUCUAAAAAUAUGUGAUCUAUUUUUAUGCUAGUUUGUUAGGCAGUUGAUGUUAGGGGUAUAAGACCUAGAGUUGAAAUAAAGUGAAUGAGAGAGCUAAAAUCAAACCGAUAGGUUGGUUACUCGGGGCCUCGAGGUCGAUUUCGAGGCUCGGACUCGAGCUAUCGUGGGUGAUCGGGGUAGGGCUAACAGGUAUGGAAUAAUCAACAAAGGCUCUUUAUGGCAGAUGAUGAGCAAUAAAUGAUGAACAAAUGUGGACAUAAUAAAUGAGAGUAAUAAUAUCGAGAGAGUAUGUUAGAAGGGAAAGAGAAGAUACUUGUAUAUUUCUUAUGGAACAGCUGAAGCAACAGGGUUUACAAAAAUGGUAACAUUGCCCCUUAUGUAGGAGAGGAAUCAUAACAUAGUAUAAAAUACAUUUACUACUCGGAAACAGGGAUGGGACAGCUAGAUAUGAUGUCCUGACGUCCUACGUAGGGUCUAGAAUAGCCAGCUAGGCUCUGUCAGUCUUAGCCAAGCGUCUUUGGAACUUCACUCUUUUCUAAUAUAGGCGUUGGUCUGUACUACCCCGAGACGGGGCCCAAAUGACCCUUGACAGGGAACCUCGACCUCGGCCUCGAACCUCGAGAAGCACAUUCGCGGGGUACCAUAAUGACGAGAAAAUUGUACACCCCCGAUUUUGCCAUACACACCAUUUAAAGUGACAAUCGAAACGGGAUUAUUUAUAUUAAAUUCAGAGUCGCCACUUGGGAUAAUUUAUGGUGUCCCAAGUCACCGGUUUAAAAUCCCAAAUCGAGGAAGUUUGACUCUUAUUUAUGGUCUUCGAACAUAGAAAUUCGAGUAAGGAAUUCUGUUAACCCAGGAGAAGGUGUUAGGCAUUUCCGGAUUCCGUGAUUUUAGCGCGGUCGCUUUAAUCAUACCUGGCUUAAUUAAAUUGUCUAAUUACUUAUUUUAGAACCUAUGUACAUUUUUACUUUUUACCGCUUUUUAAUUUGAAACGAAUCACGCGUAUGUGUAUUCAUUUGUUUGGUUAUUCAUAAUCACAGAAUUAUCUUAAAACGAGUCACGUGUACGUGUACUAGUUUCGUUUGGCGCAUCAAGAAUCAUGUCACGCGUACGUGUACACAAUUAAUCACACUUUAUUAAUUGUUUAGAUUGCUUAGCCAAAGUCACGCGAACGUAUACCUUGGUUUAUUUUUAAAAAUCAUAAAUAUGUCACGUGAACGUUACGUAGUCAUGAUAAUUUAUUUAUUAAUACGUGCCUAAAGCAUACUAGCACAUUUGAAUUUUUUUCCUAAUCUUUGAGAUUGUUGUGAUGCCAAAUUUAUGAAAAAAAAUAUUAUUGUGGAGCAAAUAGGCUAGCUAACAUGAUCAAUUACUUGGCCAGAUUCCUUAUGGUUCAAGACACACCUUAUGUCCCAUUCUUAUUCCUUGCCAAGAAAAACAACUCAAAUUUUCCAUCUACCCAAUUAAAGUAUUUAUUCAAGAACCAAAACUACAUACAUCACAAUCGAAAUAAAAAAUUAAUUAAAACAAUUUAAAUGAAGACUAAGACAUGCUACUCAAAAAAACGUAGAAGCACAAAUCAACCAACACGCGCACCAAGCUAUCAUAACGAAAUGAAACGAGAAUGAAAAUUGAGAAAUUGACCUUUUAUUAAUGAACAAAGCUGAAAAUUGCAAAUCAAACGGCCUAAACAAAGCAACAAUCCUUGGACUGAAAUACUGAAAUUACGAACCGUAGCCUCGAAUCGACACCGAAACACUCGACACUCAAACGCGGUCAAUCAAACUUUACAAUGAAGAGACGAAUUUCACAGUUUGCAAUUCUUCCCUAUAUCGAAUUUCACAGUUUGAAAUCAAACGUGGUCAAUCAAAUGCGGGUGCAAUUUCCGGAAUUGGACCAAUGUAACUAACACUAGCUAAGAAUUUUUUGCACCAAACUUCUGACAGAACUCCUGUUUCCUUGAGAAAAUAAUCCUCAAAUAUGUGUUAUUAAAUAAAUUCCUCGUGGAUUUUCAAGCCAUCAUUAUUGAUACACGAACAUAUACACUUUCAUGCAAUUAACUGCUCUAUCAAGCGGUGCCGAUUGGGCUAUGACGUGGGAAAAUCUUCGAGGGCCAUAUAUCUAACUUGAUUUCAUUCGGAUGCCUCUUAACAUCAAUGCCAUUUUCAAUUUUUCGCUGCUCCACACAAAGAGAACUCAGUUCAGUUGAUGCUGAUUAUUUCUUAAUUGGAUUUAGGUUAGUUUGGUUGAUUGGAAAAAAUGGACGCUGAUUUUUUGUGAUUUUGGAGUUGAUGUCUCAGAGGUGUAGGUGUUUUUUUUCUUAGCUAGGUCUAGGUCUAGGUUUUUGAAGAAGAAGAAGAAGAGUCCUUUUAAAGUAUUAGGAUUUUAUGGGUAUUGGGCUUGGAUCUAUGGGCUAAGGUUAAUUGGGCUUAGAUUUAGGGAAUUGGGUUGUAUCAUGUCUUUUGGGUUUGAAUCUAGGCUAGGAAAACCAAAUAGUACAAUGUAUCUAUAAAAUUUAAAAAUUACUCUAAAUUAAAAUAAACUAAUAUAAAACUAAAUACUAAAAGUGAAACUAAUUUUUGUAUUUUCAAAUGUUAUAAUACUAUAAAUUUAAAUAUACUAAUUGAUUUUAACCUAAAGAUGAAAAAUAUUUUUUUGUAAUUUUUAUUUUUGUUAUAAAAUAAAGUAAAAGAGUCAAAACUAUUUAGAAUAGUGAUACUAAACCUAAAUUAAAUAUUUACGCUAAAAUAUGUAAAAUCAUGGGAGGGUAAAAAAUUACAUGUCUAUAGUUGCGCUUCUUUGACUGGAAAUGCAAAGAGUUUUCGGACAAAGAGCGACGAGAUAGGUUUUUUGACCCGACCCUUAUUUAGGGAGAACAAAAACUGAGAGAAAGGAGAAUGUGACCGAGCCUGGUAUCGGAGCUUCCUACAUAUCCUUAGCUAUAAAGGAAUCAGGUCAUCUGUAGUUCAGAAGUGAAUGAGGUGAUGGAGUGUACCGAGGUGGACAGCCGAGUGAGGUUCUUUUCCGUCGAGGUUCCAGUCCGCGGUCCUAUUAUUACAUCAAAAAUCAUAAUUGAAAAGGCUAACUAAGCCUAUCAGCUACGAGUUACAAGAUUCCUAUCUAUGAGUCUUUUGAAGCUUGAUCUUGAGUCUUGAAUGGUUCUUCAUGCAAACUUUAGAUUUGAACCUUGGUGCUUGCUAGCUGCAGGUGCUAAUUCAUUCUUCUUCACCUUUUGGAUCAAGACCGGACAUGUAGUGCUUAUGACCUCAACCAUGUCUUGAGCAGUUCACAUCUUUUUCUGCUUCUGCAUUUAGGAUUUACUUCUUUUUUUUUUUGGAUUGAGACUAUUUCUGUUGGUCAUCUCGGAUUGUUGACUCGUAUUCUUGUCGCGAGCUUCUGCUACUUCUAAGUUGAAUUGAAUUCUGAAAUAACUUCCCUUUUUUCUCCUAGUGGGUGCCUGCUACUGACUCGAAAUUUGAAAUAAUUCUGAAACGAAUUCCCUUGUUCUCCAGGUGGGUGCCUGCUACUACAACAAAACAGGCAAAAUAAAAGAAACUUUUCUGCCCCAGUUUGCACUAGGAAGAUUUGUGAGUUGUUAGCAAAACUGUAAAUCGCCUAUGCUACUGAUGAGAGUAAAAUUGAAGGAUCGACGAGGAUGUGCGUCUCCUGUGAGCAAAACCAAGAAAAUUUCGACCCAAACUAGGAAGUACAUCUCCUAAAUUUGAGACCGAGCUUGCGGAAAUCUAUAAAUUAAACUUGACUAAAGUAAAACUGACCUUAUUCUCUAGGCGGGACCCCUAAUUUCAAGAAAACUAAAGAUUAAUGACUUAAGAAAACUAAAAAUUGACCCUUUUUUCAAAUCUAGACUUCCUUUUAUUUUAAAUUAUCCUAGGAGAAAAUUUGUUAGACUAGAUUUUCUAUCUUAGGAGAAAGAUUCAUCAGACUAUGAUUUUGAUCCUAGAAGAAAGUUCAUCAGACUAGGUUUUCUAUCUUAGGAGAAAUAUUAAUCAGAAUAAGACUUCAAUCCUAGGAGAAAAUUCAUUAGAUUAGGUCCUUUUGUUUUUUGUUAUUUUAGGAGAAGGAUUCAUCAGACUAAGAUUUUUAUCCUAGGAGAAAGUUUAUCAUACUAGGUCUUCUAUCUUAGGAGAAAAAUUCAUCAUACUAAGAUUUCGAUCCUAGGAGAAAAUUUAUCAGACUAGGUCCUUUUUUGUUAUCUUAGGAAAAAGAUUCAUCACACUAAGAUUUCUAUCCUAGGAGAAAGUUCAUCAUACUAGGUCAUCUAUCUUAAGAGAAAAAUUCAUUAGAUUAAGAUUUUGAUCCUAGGAGAAAGUUCAUCACACUAGGUCUUUUUUUUUGGUAUUGUGGGUCAUCACUUGUUUUUAAAAUGAAUUAUAAGUACUGAGGCCUUAAAACCUCUUUCAGUAUCACCUUGAUUUGUGUGCGCAGUCCGGGCGCGUAGCCGGAAAGCUAUUAUGUGAAAAUGUUGAAAUUUUGAUUUAAAAUACAUUUUUAAGUUGACUUCGGUGAACAUUUUAUGUAAACGGACCCGGACCCAUGAUUUGACGGCCCCGGAGGGUCCGUGGAGAAAUAUGGGACUUGGGCGUAUGCCCGGAAUCGAAUUCCGAGGUCCCAAGCCCGAGUAAUGAAUUUUUAAAGAAAAUUGUUUUCUAGAAAUUUUUAUGAGUUUUGGAAAUGAAAUGCAUUUAGAAUUUGAUGGUAUCGGGCCCGUAUUCUGGUUUCAGAGCCCGGUACAUGUCUUAUAUGUGAAAUAAGAUGAGUCCAUUAAAUUUGGUAAGAAACGGAAGUUGUUUGAGGUGAUUUGGACCCGUAGUUGUGAAAAUUCAUGCUUUGAAAGUUUUGAGAUUUUUCUUAGAUUUCUAUGUUAAAUUCGUUGUUUAAGAGGUUAUUUUGGCGUUUUGAUCGCGCAGAUAAGUUCAUAUGAUGUUUUUGGUUAGUGUGUAUGUUUGGGUUGGAGCCCUGAGGGCUCGGGUGAGUUUCAGAUGGGUUUCGGAAAGUUUUGAACUCAUAAAAAGUUGCAGGUUUUUGGCUAUUCAGUGCCCAUGGAUUUUGUUUUUCGCGUUCGCAUGGUCCCACUCGCGAAUGCGUAAGGCAAAUCUCCCAGGUGCCAGAUUUCUUCUUCUUAAACACAAAGCCUGAGACACGAACGCGAGGCUGAGGGGGGAUACCCUUCGCGAACGCGUAAGACAAUGGGCCUGGAGGAGGGGAUUCUCAUUUAUUGUACGCGGACGCGGCCACUGGCCCGCGAACGCGAAGGCUCGAGGGGUCAAAGCUCCACGAACGCGAACCCAAUGUCGUGAACGUGAAGGUCAUUGAGGCCUGACUCAUCGCGUACGCAACAAGCCUAUCGCGAACGCGAUGAAGUCCUUUAUAGUGAUUUUAAAGUAGAAGCAAAAACGGGACUUAACAAAAUUUCAUAAAUUCUCCUUCCAAACUCCAAAAUUGGGCGAUUUUUGAAAGGGAAUUUCACCACCAAUUUUUAGGUAUGUAAUAUUAGAAUUUAUUUUCUUCAAUUUCCAUUAACACCCAUUAGAUUUCUGGGCUUAAAUCAUAUUUUUAAGGGUAGAAAUUUGGGAUUUGGGUAGAGUUGGGGAUUUUUGUAUAAUUGUGAUUUAGACCUCGUUUUGGGGUCGAAUUUUGGAACUAAUUAUAUAUUCGGACUCAUGGGUGAAUGAGUGAAUGGGUUUUGGUCCGAACCUCGUGUUUUGACCAAGCAAGCCCGGGGUCAAUUUUGACUUUUUGGAAAGAAUGAUGGGAAAGAAUUGGAUUGUUUAGCGUUUAUUGAUGUUAUUAAGUCGAUUAUGUCUAGAAUAUAAUUGAUUUGGAGCCGAAUUCAAAAGGAAAAGCAGAGUUUGAGGCUUGAGUUGGCCGUAGAAGUUUGAGAUAAGUGUUUGGUCUAACCUUAGCUUGAGGGAUUAAGAGUUGUGUCUUAUUUGCUACAUGUUAAUUGUGAAGUACGACGUAUAGGCAUGGUGACGAAUAUCUAUACGUUGGUGUCAAGCAAGCCCGUGAGUCUUGUAUUGUAAUUGUUAUGACUCUGUUGUGGUUUAUUGCACUUCAUAUGUUAUUAUCACCAUUGUUCCCUUGCCAGGAUGUUUGUUUGAUAUUAAUAAUCCCUUGCCGGGAUGUUUGUUUUGAUAGUAUUGUUCCCUUGCCGGGAUGUUUGUUGAUAUUAUUGUUCCCUUGCCGGGAUGUUGUUGAAAUAUCAUUGUUCCCUUGCCGGGAAGUUGUUAUAUUGUUCUUGUUCCCUUGUCAGGAUUCCUUGUGAUUUUUGUUGGCUUGUAAUUGGGAGUGGGUGGUAUGCCUACCACAAGAUAUAAUGAAAUAGGAGCGGGUGAUAUGCCUACCACAAGAUAUAAUGAAAUGGGAGCGGGUGGUACGCCUACCACAAGAUAUAAUGAAAUGGGAGCGGGUGGUACGCCUACGACAAGAUAUAAUAAAAUAGGGGCGGGUGGGACGCCUACCACGAGAUAAAUGAAAUGGGAGCAGGUGGUACUCCUGCCACGAGGUAAAUGAAAUGGGAAUGGGUGGCACACCUGCCACUAGAUACAUGAAAUGGGAGCGGGUGGCACGCCUCCCACGAGUCACAGGAAAUGGGAUCGGCUUGCACGCCUGCAACAAGAUGUGAAACAAAAGUGAAAUCCGCUUUUGUUUUCCUUAUUCUUGUUAAUGGUUGAUUUUGACUCCUUUAUAAUUCUCUUGAUAUUCUGUUUUACCCGUUAUUCCCCGAAGCAUGUUUCCCCCUCCUAUCUUUAUUUGUUUAUUUCUGUAUUUCUUUUGCGUUAUAUAUAUAUUUUAACUGCACAGGUUUAUUUGGUAGUGUGGUCCUAGCCUUGUCACUACUUCGUCGGAAUUAGGCUGCACACUUACCAGCACAUGGGGUCGGUUGUGCUGAUACUACACUCUGCACUAUGUGCAUAUUCUAGAGCAACUUUUGGAUAGUAGCUUGGAGGCUUCCUUCAGUCCAUCCAGAGACCAAGGUAGACCUGCAGGUGUCCGCAGGCCCUGGCGUCUCCCUCUGUCCCUAUUUCCUGUUUUAUUUUCCUUUUAUUCAGAAACGGUGUACUGUUAUUUCUUCAGGCUUUAUAUGUAGCAAUCUUAGACAGUCUGUGACACUGUGAUACCAGGUUUUGGGUAGUUAUGGCUUAAGUAUUUGUAAUAGAUGCAGUUUUCAUAAAUCUUAUUAUUGUCUUCCGCUUAAAUUUGAAUUUCCGUUGUUACCACGUUAUCAUCCUAUAUUUGUUAAAAAGAAAUAAUUGCUUAAUGAAGUAAUUAGAUUAAAGGUUUGGCUUGCCUAGCUCACAUUAGUAGGUGCCAUCACGACUCCCGAGGGUGGGAAAUCCGGGUCGUGACAAGUUGGUAUCAGAGCUCUAGGUUACAUAGGUUUCACAGUUCACAUACAAGCUUAGUAGAGUCUAAGGGAUUGAUACGGAGAAACUUGUAUUUAUCCCCCAGAGGCUACAGAGUUAGGAACAACUUCACAUUUAUUCUCUCCUGUCGUGCGGUUUGGUUUCUCAAUGCUAAUUGAAUUUCUACUAUGUUCUUUCGCAGAUGGCGAGAACACGUGCUUCCUCAUCCACUGACCAGCAGCCCGCGCCCCCAGCAACAGCUCCUACAAGGGGCAGAGGGUGAGGUCGAGGACAUGCUAGAGGCCGAGGUAGGGGCAGAUCUCAGGCCCGAGCAGCAACACUAGCGGGGGAGCCUCAAGUUGACUUUGAUGAUGAGGUUCCGGCCCUAGCAGUUUCGGUCGGCCCCGCUCAGGUCGCAGAGCAGUUUAAAUCUACCCCAGUUCUUUAGGAUGCUCUAGUCCGCCUAGUGGGCCUCAUGGAGAGUGUCACCCGAGCAGGCUUGCUUCUUGUAGCACCAGUCGUUUCUCAGGCUGGAGGAGGAGCCCAGACUCAUACUACUUGAACUCCGGAGCAGGUAGCUCCCCAGAUUCAGACUCCAGCAGUUCAGCCAGUUGGAGCAGUUCAGUCGGGUGUGGUAGCUCAGACCGGUGAUGUAACGGCUAUGUAUGCCGAUGCUUUGUGGAGGUUGGAUAGGUUCACCAAGCUCUUCACUACUAAUUUCAGCAGUGCAUCUACGGAGGAUCCCUAGGAUUAUCUAGAUAGCUGUCACGAGGUUCUCAUGAACAUGGGGGUAGUUGAGACCAAUGGGGUUGAUUUUGCUACUUUUCGCUUGUUUGGAUCCGCCAUGAUUUGGUGGAGGUAUUAUUGUUUGGCUAGAUCAGCUGGAUCGCCAACUUUGACUUGGGAGCAGUUUACUCUGCUAUUUCUGGAGAAGUCUCUCCUCAUCACUCAAACAGAGGCCUAUCGGAGGCAAUUUGAGCGUCUCCAGUAGGGUUCUAUGACUGUUACCCAGUAUGAGACCAGAUUCAUCAACUUGGCUCGUCAUGCCCUUAUCAUACUUCCCACCAAGAGAGAGAGAGGGGGUGAGGAGGUUCAUUGAUGGAUAUUAAGCCGAUUUGUCUUCAGAUGGCUAGGGAGGCUGGGAGUGAGAUAUCUUUGCAGGAGGAGGCCAAUGUGGCCAAGAGAGUGGAUAUAGUUCUGUUGUAGGGAGCUAGUCAUGGGUCGGACAAGAGGCCCCGUCAUUCAGGCAGAUUCAAUGGUGCCUCGUCUGGAGGCAGGGAUUCGUAUGGUACAUGCCAUACUCCUAGGCCCUUAGAGUCAGCACUUCAAGUUUCUCACGGUGCUUCAAGUGGUCGUGGUUCUCAGAUGCAGUAUUCUGAUCAACAGUCCUACAAUGCACUACCAGCUUCUAUUAGUGCACCGCUGCUUCAGAGUUUCUGGGGUGGUCAUUCAGGUCAUCAAGGCCAGCUGUCUCAACAACCGAGGGUUUGCUCUACUUGUGGUGAUAUGGGUCACAUUGCUAGGUUUUGCCCUCGAGCACCGAGUAGCUCUCAGCAUCAGGGUUCCCGUACCAUGGUUCAGGCACCAGGUGUUCCACAGCCCGUCCAGCCAGCUAGAGGUGGGGGUAUAGGUUCUAGAGGUGGAGGUAGAGGUAUUAUAGGUGGAGCUCAGGUUACUAGAGGUGGAGACCAGCCAGUAGCGGUCAUCCCAUAGAUGUAGUUCAGGGUGGUGAGGCCCAGCCCCGAUGUUAUGCUCUUCCAGCCUGGCCCGAGGCGGAGGCUUCAGAUGUAGUUAUUACUGGUACGGUUCUGGUUUAUGAUAGAGAUGUUUUAGUGUUAUUUGAUCUAUGGUCUACGUACUCGUAUGUGUCAUCUUAUUUUGCACCGUAUCUGGUCAUGCCUAGUGAUUCUUUGAGUGCCCCUAUUUAUGUGUCUACACCGGUGGGUGAUUUUAUUGUGGUAGAUCGAGUUCAUCGUUCAUGUAUAGUUGUGAUUGGGUGUCUUGAGACCCGUGUAGAUUUGCUUCUUCUGGACAUGGUUGAUUUUGAUGUCAUAUUGUGGAUGGACUGGUUAUCACCUUACCACGCUAUCUUGGACUGUCAUUCCAAGACUGUGACCAUAGCCUUGCUGGGUUUACCUCGUUUGGAGUGGAGAGGGACUCCUGGUCAUUCUACCCGUAGUGUUAUCUCUUAUGUGAAGGCUCGACGUAUGGUCGAGAAGAGGUGUUUGGCCUAUUUGGCAUAUAUUCGUGAUUCUAGUGUCGAGGUUCCUUCUAUUGAUUCUGUUCCCGUUGUUCGUGAGUUUCCUAAGGUUUUCCCUUCAAACCUACCAGGUAUGUCACCCGAUAGAGAUAUUGACUUUUGCAUUGAUUAGGCUCCGGGCACUCAGCCCAUUUCUAUUCUGCCGUAUCGUAUGGCCCCGCCUGAGUUGAAAAAGUUGAAGGAGCAGUUUCAAGACUUUCUUGAGAAGGGUUUCAUUAGGCUGAGUGUUUCGCCUUGGGGUGCGCCGAUGUUGUUUGUUAAGUAGAAGGACGGAUCGAUGAGAAUGUGCAUUGAUUACCGGCAGUUGAACAAGGUUACAAUCAAGAAUAAGUAUCCAUUGCCGAGGAUUGAUUACUUGUUUGAUCAGCUUUAGGGUGCCAAAGUAUUUUUGAAGAUUGACUUGAUAUCUGGCUACCAUCAGUUGAGGAUUAGGGAAUCCUAUGUGCCUAAGACAGCUUUCUGCACUCAGUACGGGCAUUAUGAGUUCCUGGUGAUGUCAUUCGGGUUGACAAAUGCCCCAGCAGCUUUUAUGGAUUUGAUGAACCAAGUGUUCAGACCUUAUUUAGAUUCGUUCAUGAUAGUCUUCAUUGAUGAUAUUUUGAUCUAUUCCCGUAGCCGGAGGAGCACGAGCAGCAUCUUAGAGUGGUUCUUCAUACCUUGAGGGAUAGUCAAUUAUAUGCUAAGUUCUCGAAGUACGAGUUCUAGUUGAGUUCACUUGCAUUUCUGGGUCAUGGUGUAUCAGCAGAGGGUAUUCAGGUUGAUCCGAAGAAGAUUAAGGCAGUCAAGAACUGUCCUAGACCAUCAUCAGCUAUAGAGAUUCGGAGUUUCUUGGGAUUAGCAUGCUACUAUCGUCGGUUCGUGGAGGGGUUUUCAUCUCUCGCAACCCCGAUGACCAGGUUGACCCAAAAGGGUGUCCAGUUCAGAUGGUCGAAUGGGUGUGAGGCGAGCUUUCAUAAGCUCAAGACAGCUUUGACUACGACACUAGUGUUGGUUUUGCCCAUAGGUUCAAGGCCUUAUACAACUUAUUGUGAUGCAUCUCGUAUUGGACUUAGUGCAGUAUUGAUGAAGGAUGGCAAGGUCAUUGCCUAUGCUUUGCGACAGUUGAAGAUUCAUGAGAAGAACUAUCGAGUUCAUGAUUUGGAGUUGGCAGCCAUUGUUCACGCAUUGAAGAUUGGAGGCAUUAUCUGUAUGGCGUGGCAUGUGAGGUGUUUACGGAUUACAAAAGUCUUCAGUAUUUGUUCAAGCAAAAGGAGUUGAAUUUGUGGUAGAGAAGGUGGUUGGAGUUGUUGAAAGAUUAUGAUAUCACCAUCUUAUAUCAUCCGGGAAAGGCCAAUGUGGUGGCUGAUACUUUGAGUAGGAAGUCAGCCAAUAUGGGUAGUCUUACUUAUAUUCCGGUCAGUGAGAGACUGCUUUCUUUGGAUGUUCAGGCUUUGGCCAAUUAGUUCGUGAGGUUGGAUGUUUCUAAGCCCAGCUGUGUGUUAGCUUGCAUAGUCGCUCGCUAUUCAUUAUUGGAGCGUAUUCGAGAUCGGCAGUAUGAUGAUCCCCAUUUGUGUAUCCUUAGAGAUACGGUGCAGCACGGAGGUGCCAAGCAGGUUUCCUUGGGUGAUGAUGGAGUUUUGAGAUUGUAGGGUCGAGUUCGUAUGCAUAAUGUGGAUGGGCUUUGAGAGUUGAUUUUAGAGUAGGCCCAUAGCUCCCGGUACUCUAUUCAUCCGGGCGCCGCGAAGAUGUAUCAGGAUUUGCGGCAGCAUUAUUGGUGGCGGAGAAUGAAGAAGGAUAUUGUUGCAUAUGUGGCUCUCUAUUAUUUCAUACCGAAGUACACAGUUUACCUUGUAUUUCUGGAGAGCAGUUCAGCGAGAGUUGGGCACACGGGUUGAGUUGAGCACAACAUUUCAUCCUAAGAUGGACGGACGGGCAGCCCGAGCGGACCAUUCAGAUUUUGGAGGAUAUGCUCCGAGCUUGUGUCAUUGACUUUGGAGGCUCGUGGGAUCAGUUUUUGCCUGUAACAGAGUUUGCCUACAACAACAGCUACCAGUCGAGUAUUCAGAUGGCUCCUUAUAAAGCUUUAUAUGGGAGGCGGUGUCGGUCUCCGGUUGGAUGGUUUGAUCCGGGAGAGGCUCGGUUGUUGGGUACGAAUCUGGUUCAGGAUGCCUUGGACAAGAUCAGGAUUAUUCAGGAUAGGCUUCGUAAAGCUCACUCCAGGCAAAAGAGCUAUACCGACCGCAAGGUUCGAGAUUUGGCUUUCAUGGUCGGUGAGCGAGUAUUGCUUUGAGUGUCACCUAUGAAGGGCGUGAUGAGGUUUCGGAAGAAGGGCAAGCUUAGCCCUAGGUUCAUUGGCCCGUUUGAGAUCCUUGAUCGAGUGGGAGAGGUGGCUUAUAGACUUGCAUUGCCGCCUAGCUUAUCAGUCGUGCAUCCAGUGUUUUAUGUGUCCAUGCUUCGGAAGUAUCACGGUGAUCCAUCCUAUGUAUUAGAUUUCAGCACAGUCUAGUUGGACAAGGACUUGUCUUGUGAGGAGGAACCGGUAGCUAUUCUAGACCGGCAGGUUCGUCAGUUGAGAUCGAAGAGUUUUCCUUCUGUUCGUGUUCAGUAGAGAGGUCAGCCUAUUGAGGCAUCGACCUGGGAGUCCGAGUCCGAUAUACGGAGCCAUUAUCCCCAUCUUUUCCCCCACUCAGGUACUUCCUUCUUAUGUCUGUUCGAGGACGAACGGUUGUUUUAGAGGUGGAGAAUGUGAUGACCCAAAAAGUCAUCGCUUGUUUUUAAAAUGAAUUCUGCAUCUCGAGGCCUUAAAAACCUCUUUCAGCAUUACCUCGAUUUGCGUGCACAGUCCGGGCGCGUAGCCGGAAAGCUAUUAUGUGAAAAACCUAUGAAAAUGUUGAAAUUUUGAUUUAAAAUGCAUUUUUAAGUUAACUUCGGUCAACAUUUUUGGUAAACAGACCCAAACCCGUGAUUUGAUUGCCCCGGAGGGUCCGUGGAAAAUAUGGGAAAAUCGAAUUCCGAGGUCCCAAGCCCGAGUAAUGAAUUUUUAAAGAAAAUUAUUUUAUGGAAAUUUCUAUGAGUUUUGGAAAUGUUGCAUUUAGAAUUUGAUGGUAUCGGGCUCGUAUUUUUGUUUCCGAGCCCGGUAUAGGUCUUAUAUAUGAAAUAUUAUGAGUCCAUGAAAUUUGGUAAGAAACGGAAGUCGUUUGAGGUGAUUUAGACCCGUAGUUGUGAAAAUUCAUACUUUGAAAGUUUUGAGAUUUUUCUUAGAUUUCUACGCUAAAUUCGUUGUUUAAGAGGUUAUUUUGGCGAUUUGAUCACACAGAUAUGUUCAUAUGAUGUUUUUGAGUUAGUGUGUAUGUUUGGGUUGGAGCCCCGAGGGCUAGGGUGAGUUUCAAAUAUGAUUCGGAAAGUUUUGAACUCAUAAAAAGUUGCAGGUUUUUGGCUAUUAAGUGCCCAGGGAUUUUUUUCUUCGCGUUCGCGUGGUCCCACUCGUGAACGUGUAAGGCAAAUCUCCCAGGUGCCAGAUUUCUUCUUCGUGAACGUAAAGCCUGAGACGCGAACGCGAGGCUGAGGGGGGAUACCCUUCGCGAACGCGUCCAAGCACUCCCGAACGCGUAAGGCAAUGAGCCUAGGGGAGGGGAUUCUCAUUUAUUCUACGCGAACGCAGCCACUGGCCCGCGAACGCGAAGGCUCGAGGGGUCAAAGCUCCGCGAACUCGAGCCCAAUGUCAUGAACGUGAAGGUCACUGAGGCCUAACUCAUCGCAAACGUGACAGGCCUAUCACGAAAGCGAUGAAGGCCUGUCCAGUGAUUUUAAAGCAGAAGCAAAAACGAGACUUAACUAAAAUUUCAUAACUUCUUCUUCCAAACUCCAAAUUUGAUGAUUUUUGAAAGGGAAUUUCACCACCAAUCCUUAGGUAUAUAAUCUUAAACUCAUUUUCUUCAAUUUCCAUUAACACCUAUUAGAUUUCUAGGCUUAAAUUAUGUUCUUAAAGGUAGAAAUUAGGGAUUUGGGUAAAGUUAGGGCAUUUUGUAUAAUUGUGAUUUAGACCUCGUUUUGGUAUCAAAUUUUGGAACUAAUUAUAUAUUCGGGUGAAUGGGUUUUGGUCCGAACCUCGUCUUUUGACCAAGUAGGCCCGAGGUUAAUUUUUGACUUUUUGGAAAGAAUGAUAGGAAAGCUAUAAUCAAGCAUUGGAAUUGGAUUGUUUAGCAUUUAUUGAUGUUAUGAAGUCGAUUAUGUCUCGAUACAAUUGAUUUGGAGCCGAAUUCAAAAGGGAAAGUGGUGUUUGAGGCUUGAGUUUGCCGUGGAAGUUUGAGGUAAGUACUUGGUUUAACCUUAGCUUGAGGGAUUAGCUAUUGUGUCUUAUUUGCUACAUGUUAAGUAUGGAGUACGACGUAUAGGCAUGGUGAUGAGUAUCUAUACGUUGGUGUCAACCAUGGCCAUGAGUCUUGUAUUAUAAUUGUUAUGACUCCGUUAUGGUUUAUUGCACUUCAUAUGUUAUUAUCACCAUUGUUCCCUCGUACGUUUGUUUGAUAUUAAUGAUCCCUUGUCGGGAUGUUUGUUUUGAUAGUAUUGUUCCCUUGCCGGGAUGUUUUUUGAUAUUAUUGUUCCCUUGCCGGGAUUCCUUAUGAUUUUUGUUGGCUUGUAAUUGGUAGCGGGUGGUAUGCCUACCACAAGAUAUAAUGAAAUGGGAGCGGGUGGUACACCUACCACAAGAUAUAAUGAAAUGGGAGCGGGUGGUACGCCUACCACGAGAUAAAUUAAAUGGGAGCGGGUGGUACGCCUACCACGAGGUAAAUAAAAUGGGUGCUGGUGGCACGUCUGCCACAAGAUACAUGAAAUGGGAGCCGGUGGCACGCCUGCCACGAGACACAUGAAAUGGGAUCGGGUUGCACGCCUGCAACAAGAUGUGAAAAGAAAGUAAAAUCUACCUUUGUUUUCCUUAUUCUUGUUAGUGGUUGAUUUUGACUCCUUUAUAAUUCUCUUGAUAUUCUGUUUUACCCGUUAUUCCCCAAAGCAUGUUUCCCCCUCCUAUCUUUAUUUAUUUAUUUCUGUAUUUCUUUUGCACUGUAUAUAUAUAUUUUAACUGCACAGAUUUAUUUGGUACUCUGGUCCUAGCCUCGUCACUACUUCGCCAGGGUUAGGCUGCACACUUACCAGCACAUGGGGUUGGUUGUGCAUAUACUACACUCUGCACUACGUGCAGAUUCUGGAGCAGCUUUUGGACAGUAGCUUGGAUGCUUCCUUCAGUCCAUCCGGAGACCCAAGGUAGACCUACAGGCAUCCACAGGCUGUGGCGUCUCCCUCUGUCCCUAUUUCCUGUUUCAUUUUUCUUUUAUUCAGAAAUGGUGUACUGUUAUUUCUUCAGACUUUGUAUGUAGCAAUCUUAGACAGUCUGUGACAAUGUGACACCAGGUUUUGGGUGGUUAUGGCUUAAGUAUUUUUAAUAGAUGCAGUUUACAUAAAUCUUAUUGUUGUCUUUCGCUUAAAUUUGAAUUUCCGCUGUUACCACGUUAUCGUCUUAUAUUUGUUAAAAAGAAAUAAUUGGUUAAUGAAGUAAUUAGGUUAAAGGUUUGGCUUGUCUAGCUCACAUUAGUAGGCUCCAUCACGACUCCCGAGAGUGGGAAAUCUGGGUCGUGAUAGGUAUCUUAGGAGAAAGAUUCAUCAGACUAAGAUUUCUAUCCUAGGAGAAAGUUCAUCAGACUAGAUCUUCUAUCUUAGGAGAAAAAUUCAUCAGACGAAGAUUUCGAUCCUAGGAGAAAGUUCAUCAGACUAGGUCUUUUUUUUGGUAUCUUAGGAGAAAGAUUCAUCAGACUAAGAUUUCUAUCCUAGGAGAAAAUUCAUCAGACUAGGUUUCCUAUCAUAUGAGAAAAAUUUAUAGACUAAGAUUUUUAUUGGGAGGAAAAUCCAUUAGACUAGGACAUUUUAUCUUAAGAGGAAAACAUGUGAAGAUCAAUGGCAUGAUUUUCUGCACAAUAGCAAGACAAAUAAAGGCAAAGAUUUGAGGAACUUCCCUUUGUCGGCUCUUCUCUUUUUUUCUAUUUCUUCCUUUUUUUUCUUCUUUUUUUUCUUUUUUUUCUUUUUGUUUUUUUUCUUCUUUUCUUUUUUGAACCACUUUUGUUGCACUGCUUUGUUCCUGUUUCACUCACAGAAAUAUUUGUCAGUUUUGAAAAUGGUGGUCGGUUUGUGGCCUUGAGUCCUUGGGCAACUUUGACUUUUGCUCAAUCAGCUUGAGUAUGUUUCAAGAGACUUUUACUCUGCAUCAACCCUAAUUGUUUUAGACCCGGUACCAUUUGUAUUUGUGGCUCAAUCAGCCUUAUCCCAACUGGAGAUCUUUGCUUAGGGGACCUUUUCUGUUAUCUUGAAUGACUUCCUGCUUUUUGAGNNNNNNNNNNNNNNNNNNNNNNNNNNNNNNNNNNNNNNNNNNNNNNNNNNNNNNNNNNNNNNNNNNNNNNNNNNNNNNNNNNNNNNNNNNNNNNNNNNNNNNNNNNNNNNNNNNNNNNNNNNNNNNNNNNNNNNNNNNNNNNNNNNNNNNNNNNNNNNNNNNNNNNNNNNNNNNNNNNNNNNNNNNNNNNNNNNNNNNNNNNNNNNNNNNNNNNNNNNNNNNNNNNNNNNNNNNNNNNNNNNNNNNNNNNNNNNNNNNNNNNNNNNNNNNNNNNNNNNNNNNNNNNNNNNNNNNNNNNNNNNNNNNNNNNNNNNNNNNNNNNNNNNNNNNNNNNNNNNNNNNNNNNNNNNNNNNNNNNNNNNNNNNNNNNNNNNNNNNNNNNNNNNNNNNNNNNNNNNNNNNNNNNNNNNNNNNNNNNNNNNNNNNNNNNNNNNNNNNNNNNNNNNNNNNNNNNNNNNNNNNNNNNNNNNNNNNNNNNNNNNNNNNNNNNNNNNNNNNNNNNNNNNNNNNNNNNNNNNNNNNNNNNNNNNNNNNNNNNNNNNNNNNNNNNNNNNNNNNNNNNNNNNNNNNNNNNNNNNNNNNNNNNNNNNNNNNNNNNNNNNNNNNNNNNNNNNNNNNNNNNNNNNNNNNNNNNNNNNNNNNNNNNNNNNNNNNNNNNNNNNNNNNNNNNNNNNNNNNNNNNNNNNNNNNNNNNNNNNNNNNNNNNNNNNNNNNNNNNNNNNNNNNNNNNNNNNNNNNNNNNNNNNNNNNNNNNNNNNNNNNNNNNNNNNNNNNNNNNNNNNNNNNNNNNNNNNNNNNNNNNNNNNNNNNNNNNNNNNNNNNNNNNNNNNNNNNNNNNNNNNNNNNNNNNNNNNNNNNNNNNNNNNNNNNNNNNNNNNNNNNNNNNNNNNNNNNNNNNNNNNNNNNNNNNNNNNNNNNNNNNNNNNNNNNNNNNNNNNNNNNNNNNNNNNNNNNNNNNNNNNNNNNNNNNNNNNNNNNNNNNNNNNNNNNNNNNNNNNNNNNNNNNNNNNNNNNNNNNNNNNNNNNNNNNNNNNNNNNNNNNNNNNNNNNNNNNNNNNNNNNNNNNNNNNNNNNNNNNNNNNNNNNNNNNNNNNNNNNNNNNNNNNNNNNNNNNNNNNNNNNNNNNNNNNNNNNNNNNNNNNNNNNNNNNNNNNNNNNNNNNNNNNNNNNNNNNNNNNNNNNNNNNNNNNNNNNNNNNNNNNNNNNNNNNNNNNNNNNNNNNNNNNNNNNNNNNNNNNNNNNNNNNNNNNNNNNNNNNNUCUUGACUCUAAACUUGAUUCCAAAAGAGGGUAGUCAAUGAAAAUAACACUGGCUCAAAAGGGGUAGGGAAGGAUAUAAAGUGUUUGGAUAGCAAAAAAGGGCCUCCCAGCCUCGAGAACGCCAAACAUAGUAUCCUUUCGCAAUCACGAUAUUGAUGAAUAUGUUUAUCUUCUUGGUGUGUCGUGGUCGAAAGAUACUUUCCAUACAUUAAUGUCAAACUUUCGACCAAGCUUCAAUUGAUUCAAUAUCCUCAAACCCGAUCUUCACAAUGAUUUGAACAUGAAUAUCCUUAGUCUCCAUGGGUAUAACUAUUCUAGUCCCACUUGAAUUUUACUCGGGCUUAAUUCCAAGGUAUUUCAACUCUUUUUUUAUCCUCAAAAGUGUCUUUUUCUCAGGUAUCCAAUUCAAGCUUAAAUCUAUUUUCUAGGAUAUGGCCAAAAAUUCCGCUACAUGUCAUGUCACUAGAACUAGAGGUGAACUAAGCAUGGAAUGACACAAAAGGACAAAUUGUAUUUCAUUGAGUAAACAACAAAACAAACAACCCUAAAAUCUGAGUUACAACUUUAAAAUAAACUGGAUAAUGAAAAUAGCAACAAAACAGACAGACACGACUCAAACAAACAGAAUACAGGGAUAGAAGGGUUUAACUCAAUAAAACAAAUAAAAUCUGGAUGACAACCCUGAAAUAGCCCAGAUAGUAGAAAAAAUAUCAAAACAAGCUACCAAGAUUCCUUCCUAGUAAGGAGAGAAUGACUUUUCAAUUUCUAAGCUUGACAUUUAGCCACAAAUUUUCUCAUCAGAAUCACCAUGGCCUUUUUCAAUUUCAGUCGGCAAGUUCCCGAGAGGAUUCUCAUACUCCAUGUCACCAGGCAUCAUCCCCACAAAGUGUGCAUCAUCAUGUGCAGGUAAAGGAUUCUGCGUGAUAUUUUGGGUGUCACAAUAAAUUUUUCCUGGAUCAUCCUUUCUAUUUCUCUUUUCAAAUACCGACAGCUUUCAAUAUUGUGCCCCUGGGCAUUGGAAUGGUAUUCGCACCUUUUAGAAGUGUCAAAGCUUCUGCACGUGGGUCCACAUGAUUUGGAAGAAUGGGUGCAAUCAUGUCAUAAUGCUUUAACUUCUCAAAUAAGCUUGCAUAGGACUCUCCUAUUGGUGUAAAAUUAUCUUUCAACCUUUGUUCCCCUUUAUACCUCUGGCUUGGAUGUGGGAUAUAGGGUACUUGAAAAUUUUGUGGAGGCUGGUGGAGAUUUUGUGAUGCUCGUGCUCGCCUUCUGGGAUUUUUUAGUGGCUGGACAACAUACUGAGGUGGAGCGACAGAGUAUUGUGGGUUCUAAGGGGGAUAGUAAUGCUCAGGGGAGUUAUCGAAAAACAAACGAGGCUGGUCAUACCUUCGAGACGUUCUCCUAAGACCUCUUCUCGACCAUGAUGUCAUCAUGAUUUCUUCAUCCAUCUACUUCGUGUCACCAGAAUCAAUUUGGGCAGCCUGAGUUGCAGCUUUGAGAUCUGCUUGACUUAUAAUUCUACUUGUCUUAAGGUCAUUCUCUACCAUUUCUCCCAUUUUGAUUUCUUCCGAAACGGAUUUUCCAACUGCGGACAUCGUGUUUUGAAAGUAAUCUGGCUCUUGUGCCUGAAGGAAGAUAGUGAUUAGCUCGUGGUCAUCCAUGGGUGGCUUAACUCUAGCUACUUGCUCUCUCCAUUUAAUGGCAUAUUCCCUGAAACUUUCACUUAGUUUCUUGUUCAGGUUUGAAAGGGAAUUGCGAUCCGGGGCAAUGUCAAUGUUGUAUUGGUACUGUUUAACAAAGGCCAGUGCCAUGUCAUCCCAGAUGUACCAGCGAGAUGUGUCUUGAUCCAUAGACCAUUCGGAUGGUACUUCUGUAAGGCUUUCCCCAAAAUAAGCAAUUAACAAUUCUUCAUUUCUUCCCACACCUCUUAGUUGAUUGCAAUACCUUUUCAGGUGGGCUAUGGGGUCUCCAUGUCCAUCAUACUUUUCAAAUUUGGGAGUCUUGAAACCAGGCGGCAAGUAGACAUCGGGGAACAUACAUAGAUCCUUGAAGGCAAUACUCUUCUGACCUGCCAACCCUUGCAUGUUUUUCAACUGUUGUUCAAGCUUUUCACUCUUUGGGUCAUUUCUUCCUAUGCCAUCUUUCGGGCAGGCUUCUCAAUAUUUGCAGGAAGAUCAAACAAGUACGAGUAGUACUCAGGAGAGUGGUACUGCUCUUGCUGGAUAGCAAAUUGUGACUCAUGACAAGGCUGUCCUUGGCCAUUGGCCCAUGCUUGACACAUUUUUGUCAUUUGUUGUUUCAGUAUUCUAUUUCCCUCAAAUACAACAGACUCUUGUCAAACCCUCUUACCUUGUGGUCUCUUGAGCACUUGUAACAGCUUCGAUGUCAGUUAUUAUUUUUCCUUGGAUCUUGUGCUAUCUGCUUACCACAAACCGACCACCUCAAACUUUCUUCACAAUUCAAAACAAAAGACACGUUAGAAUGGACUCAAUCCGUCCUUAUUAUUAUCAAUAUUUUUCACUUUUGUUUUUCUAUUUUUUUUCAUUUUUCCUUUCAAUGGUUGAUCGAACCUGAUAUGGGUUGCCUACGUAUCAUGUGGGAACAUGAAUCAGAUCUUGCGUAGUUCGGGAAGAUGAAGAAUAAAGGAAAUAAACUAAGUCUUGUUUUUGGAUUUUGAAAUUUGUUUUUUUUCGAAAGAAAUACUUACAAAGAAGAAAGAAUUUUUUUUGGAUUUCGAUUUGUUUGUUUUUUUUAAAAAAGAAUUUUUGAAAAGAAAGACGUCUAAAGAAGAGAUUUUUUUUUUUGAAUUUUAACUUCUUUUUCUUUUUUCUUUUUUUUUCUGGAAAUUUCGAAAGAAAAACUUCUAAAGAAGAAAGGGAAUAUUUUUGGACUUUUACUUUGAAUUUAUGAAAGAAAUACUACAAAAGAAAAGAGAAAAUAUUUUUUGAAUCUUGAAUUUUCUUUUUAAUUUUUAAACGAAUAUUUUUGGAUUUUGAGAGAGAUUAAAAGAAAUUAUUUUUGUAUUUUUUUUUAAAAUUGUGGUCUAAAAGAAAGAUUUUCUAAAGAAGGAAGUAAAGGAAAAUAUUUUUGGAUUUUUUGAAAUAAAAUGGUGUCUAAAAAAAAGACUUUUUAAAGAAGGAAUUAAAGGAAAAUAUUUUUGGAAUUUUUUUUAUUUUUUAUUUUUGAAAAAUGGGGGCCGGAACCGAUGAGGUUUGCCUACGUAUCUCACAUCCGGUGAGAAUCAGACCCGCAUAGUUCACCCAGUUUUGACAUAAUUGAAAAAACAUGAUAUUGACUCACUUUCAUUUUUUUCUUUUUUUGAAAUAUAUUUUCUUUUCCUUUUUUUUUCAAAAAAAUUGGCAGAGUUUCGAGGCAUUUUCAAAUACCGAAAUUUUCAGAACCGGGUGAAUUCUCUAUCCUACCUCACUCUUGGUUGUUCUGUUGUUUUUCUUUCCUUAGCCGGUCAACAUACAACCGAAGUAAAUAAAUGUACAAAUAGCAUGUAAGAUGCAUCAGGAAGGUCGUUUAUUUUGGGUACACCUGUCCUAGACGGACCCAACCCCUGUGUUGAGUCCCUUAAGUUAAAUGCACGUGAUGCAAACAAACUUUCCUAAUAGGGAUCCGGUAUGAGGCUAAGUUAUUCUAGGUUUGAAACCCUAGGGGUGUAUUGUAGACAUGGUUUACCCAAGCAGACAGCUCGAGCCGAGGUGGGGGCAACGUACCGGGAGCACAAAAGUCUACCCGGCCUUAUUGCUGACCCAAGCCUUGUUCUAUUUGUUAUGACUUCUAACGAAAAAGUGGGCCACGCGUACGUGUGCACCAUCUUUUUAGAAGAAUUAGAAGGGAGGCUUAAGAAGACAAUUUAAUACAAUUCAAAUAAUAUCAAAGCGGUAAAUAAGUGGCAAUUAGCACAUUAGGCCCACAAAACACAAUAAUAUCAACCGUUAAUAUAGCCAAGUAAAAAUCACAUUAACAAGCUCGAAUUCUUGAACCUUGAACUAGAGAUUCUGUGUUCUUUUCCCCUGCAGAGUCGCCAGAGCUGCCACACCUCUUUUUUCUACCCCAAGAGGGAUAUAAGGGAGUUUUUCCAAUUAAAGUAACAAUCGAAACGGGAUUAUUUAUAUUAAAUUCAGAGUCGCCACUUGGGAUAAUUUAUUGUGUCCCAAGUCACCGGUUUAAAAUCCUGAAUCGUGGAAGUUUGACUCUUAUUUAUGGUCUGCGAAUUUAGAAAUUCGGGUAAGGAAUUCUGUUAAUUCGGGAGAACGUGUUAGGCACUCCCGGGUUCUGUGGUUUUAGCAUGGUCGCUUUAAUCAUACCUAGCUUAAUUAAAUUGUCUAAUUACUUAUUUUAGAACCUAUGUACAUUUUUACCUUUUACCGCUUUUUAAUUUGAAACGAAUCACGCGUACGUGUAUUCAUUUCUUUGGUUAUUCAUAAUCACAAAAUUAUCUUAAAACGAGUCACGCGUACGUGUACUCAUUUCGUUCGGUGCGUCAAGAAUCAUGUCAUGCGUACAUGUACAAAAUUAGUCACGAUGUAUUAAUUGUUUAGAUUGCUUAGCCAAAGUCAUGUGAACGUAUACCUUGGUUUAUUUUAAAAAUCGUAAAUAUGUCACGCGAACAUGUACGUAGUCACGAUAAUUUAUUUAUUAAUACGCGCCUAAAGCAUACUAGCACAUUUGAAUUUUUUUCAUAAUCUUUGAGAUUAUUGUGAUGCCAAAUUUAUGAACAAGAUAUUAUUGGGGAACAAAUAGGCUAGCUAACAUGAUCAACUACUUGGCCAGAUUCCUUAUGGUUCAAGACACACCUUAUGACCCAUUCUUAUUCCUUGCCAAGAAAGAAACAACUCCAAUUUUCCAUCUACCCAAUUAAAGCAUUUAUUCAAGAACCAAGACUACAUACAUCAUAAUCCAAAUAAAAAAUUAAUUAAAACAAUUUAAAUGAAGACUAAGACAUGCUACUCAAACAACGUAGAAGCACAAAUCAACCAGCACGCGCACCAAACUAUCAUAACGAAAAAAAAUGAGAAUGAAAAUUGAGAAAUUGACCUUUUAUUGAUAACAAAGUUGAAAAUUACAAAUUAAUCGGGCUAAACAAACCAACAACCUUUAGACCAAAACAUCAAAAUUACGAACCGGAGCCUCGAAUUGACACCAAAACACUCGACACUCAAACGCGGUCAAUCAAACUUCACAAUGAAGAGACGAAUUUCACAGUUUGCAAUUCUUCCCUGUAUCGAAUUUCACAGUUUGCAAUUAAACGCAGUCAAUCAAACGCGGGUAAAAUUUCCGGAAUUGGACCAAUGUAACUGACACCAACUAAGAAUAUUUUGCACCAAACUUCUGACAGAACUCUUGUUUCCUUGAAAUAAUAAUCCUCAAAUAUGUGUUAUUAAAUAAAUGCUUCGUGGAUUUUCAAGCCAUCAUUAUUGAUACACGAACAUAUACACUUUCAUGCAAUUAACUACUCUAUCAAGCGGUGCCGAUUGGGCUAUGGUGUGGGAAAAUCAUCGAGGGCCAUAUAUGUAACUUGAUUUCAUUCGGCUGCUUCUUAAAAUCAAUGCCAUUUUCAAUUUUUUGCUGCUCUGCACAAAGGGAACUCAGUUCAAUUGAUGCUAAACAUUUCUCAAUUGGAUUGAGGAUAGUUUGGUUGAUUUGAAAAGAUGGACGCUGAAUUUUUGUGAUUUUGGAGGUGACGGUUGUGUCUUAGAGGUGUAAGUGUUUUUUUUCUUAGCUAGGUCUAGGUUUAGGUUUUUGAAGAAGAAGAAGGGUUCUUUUAAAGUGCUAGGGUUUUAUGGGUAUUGAGCUUGAAUCUAUGGGCUAAAAGUAAUUGGGCUUGGAUUUAGGAAAUUGGGUCGGACCAUGUCUUUUGGGUUUGAAUCUAGGCAAAGAAGACCAAAUAGUACAAUGUAUCUAUAAAAUGUAAAAAUCACUCUAAAUUAACAUAAACUAAUAUAAAACUAAAUACUAAAAAUGAAACUAAUUUUUUAUUUUCAAAUGUUAUAAUACUAUAAAUAUAAAUAUACUAAUUGAUUUUAACCUAAAGAUGAAAAAUAUUUUUUUGUGAUUUUUAUUUUUGUUAUAAAAAUAAAGUAAUAGAGUCGAAACUAUUUAGAAUAACGAUACUAAAUCUAAAUUAAAUAUUUACGCUAAAAUGUGUAAAAUCUUGGGGAGGAUCAAAAAUUACAUAUCUGCAGCUAUCAUAAGCAUCGGCCCCAAAGGAGCUGUCAACCUAAUUUCGAGACAGAAUCCGAUCUCGGGAGCCCCAAUUGCUCCGAACACGAGCUCCAAACAGCUAACAUCGAAAUUCAAAGGCUAACUCCGCAAGAACGAUGGAAUAUAAAAAAUGUAAAAACCUGAAGCAGAAGGAUUCUCUUGCAUUGCCAAAAAAAUAUUACAUGGGGCGUCUUUAUAAGACUCGUUUCCCCGGGAGUACAUACACAAAAAGAAAGAGGAAAAGCAAAGACGACGCAGGCCUACUCUUCAUCGCCACUACCCUCUGAACCAUCUUUGGGACCUUCGUCCAAAGCAACUAAAAGCUCCCAGUUUUCCUCCGAUUCUCUGGCCUUCUCGACCUCAGUUGAGAGAUUGACACCUUUGGCACUAGCUUCCUCUAAGGCUUGCCUCCUCGCCUCUGCACCAGCAUGACCGACAGUCCGAAUCAGUUUUUGCUCGGCCUUCUCCGUUGUAUUUUGGGCUAUCUGAUUUGCAGUAGCGGUGUCCUUCAGAUAAGUGGAAACUUUUCCUUCGACCUCGGACUUGGCCAUGGAUAGCACGACAAUCUCUUUUCAAGCAUUUUGGAGAAUACCUUGAGUCGACAUCAAUUCCGAGGUCACUGCCUCGUUUCGCUUCCUCAGCUCGAGGAUCUCCCCAUUCUUCUGCCCGAUCUGCAUAAGAAAGGGUAAGUUAGCCAACCUUGAAAUUGUGGGAACAACAAACGGGUUUAUGAGUAACAAAUUACCUGUUCCACAAUGCCAGCCUUUUCUUUGAGCACUCCCUCCAAACUCGUCCGAAGCUCGCCUAGAUCUUUCUCCUUUCGGGUAGAAGAGGCCUCCGACUCCUGCAGUCCCGAGGUAAGCCUUUCGAGCUCUUGUUCACAGCAUAAAAGCUCCUCUUGGAGCAUAAAGAGGGCAUGGCCGUACAUCUCCUUAAACUACAAUAAAAUAGAAGAGUUAGACAAACGAGGAAUAAUGCUCGACACUAAGGAAAUAUACAUAAACAACCACCACCUGCCGCUGGAACCUCUCCGCUCCCUUGAUGGCGCUGGAUCGAUGUCCUCACUGACAUCAUCAAUAUCAUCGAGAAUUUUGCCAAGUGUACCUCCCCCCUUGAGAGGAACCCCCACAUUGGCAACAUUCGGGUCCUAAGCAUCCCUUAACUCCCCAGAGGAGAACUGAGGGCCCAAAUUAAUACUACCAGGGAAUCGAUGUCGCCAAGGGGUAACUCCUGCCCCCGGAAAGCUUCGGGACCAGCCGCAAUUGUCUCCCCAACAGGGGCUGCACAACAUUCGGUUAUGGGAUUAGGGACCACAUUCACGCCCUCCUCGAGGGUCUCUACCUCACGGGACCGAUCCGAAUCGGUCGUUCCUGAUUUAAUGGCCUCCGAUCGGGGCACCUGUGGGACUUCUGCACCCGACCUUGUUCUUUGUACCAAAUGGUACUGACCCCCAUCAUCAGCUUCAUCCCCAGUGCCAGGACUUGCUCGGGAAGCUGAAGCCGAGGUCCCGGUGGUAGCUUGAGACCUGCGUGAUUUAGGUUUCUUUGCCUCAGGGGAAUCGGAAACCGCCUUAUUCUUCCUUUUCUUUCCCUUAGAGGGCUCCGAAGUCUCCACCUCGCCACCAGGAGGUGGUCUCAUCCACACACCUUCGCAAAGGCAUGCACAACACAACGGCCGAGGUUUAUUAGCAUAAAGUAUACUGGGGAGAAGCAUAAGACUAAGACACAAGUGUUGGGAAGAACCUUACCAUGAUUCUUGGUCACCCACCAUGUUUUAGCCAAGGCGGGCCAAGACCGGACGAGAUACGAGAAUGAAGUAUCCAACCGCCCGAUCGAUCUCGGCAGAUCAUGAACCACUUUGGGGUACCAAGCGGCAACUGCAAAGACCAAGGGGAAAUCAUUUUUGGAAGAGGGGUAAGAGGAUCACAGAGCACGUUCGAAGGAAAAAUACUUACACUGUGUAUUCUACUUCUCCGAGAAUGGCAUCCUCCCGGCUGGGAUGAUGUCCGAGGUCCUCACUCAGACGAAUUUGCUCAUCCAUCCUCGAUCCUUGUCCUCAUCGGUGCUCGAGAAAAAUGAUUUUUAGACCGACGGUGAAGCUUAAUCAAACCUCGAUAAAAUCGAGGGCUAUAUAAUCUGAUCAGAUGGUCGAGGGUAAAGGUCUCGCCCUCGACCCCAUCGGAAAAAUAGCAGAGCAUGCAGACUAUCUCCAGAAAGAAGGAUAGAUUUGACCAAGCGUCACUUGGUACUUGUCGCAGAAAUCAAGAAUAACCGGAUCUAUAUCCGAGGAAGAAGAGUUAGAGGAAUCGAUCGGACCCAGAGUGAACGGGUAAGUAUAUACAUAAAUGAGAUUAGCUUUGUGAUCCUUUAUGCUCUCGUUAGAACGGGGAAUCUUAACCAACGUUUCCUCCCCCCAUCGACUGUCUUUUUUCACCUUCUCUAUAUCGGUCACAACGCUAAUAUACCGGGACACGUGUUAACACCGGCCCGGUGUAGAUAAAGGUUUGUCGACGAAAAAAUCCUUCAUCGUGUCAAACCCGAUGGGAGUAUUGUUACAUCCCGUAAGUUUAAAAACAUUGACAUCAUUAUAUACAUUUGAUAUGGUAUUUUGAGUCGAACAUUUUUGAAAAAAAAGGCUUAAGAAAUAAUUUUGGUUUACUAAUAGAGAUAUCCCGAGCGGCAGUGGCGCAAGGUUUGAAAUUCAUGUAUUAUAUGGAUAGCUCUGCAAUUUGGAUCCUUCUUUAGCUACUAUUAUUUUGAUAUAUUUUUACCAACAAAGCGGUCAUCAUUUAAUAAAAAUUUACAAUGUUUGAAUCGAUUAAAAUAAUAAUUAUUUUACUGCUUAGCCGGAAAAACUUUAACAUCCUGCUAUAAAUUUGAUCAAUUAAAAAGAAUUCCCUUUCCUUUCUACUGGAUACCAUGAAACCUUUGUUGUCAAAUAAAAUCUAAAUAGUGACCAAAUGCAGUUCUUGUGAUAUUCAAAUUUGACACUUGCCUCCUGCCUCCAUGACAGAUGCGCAACAUGUUUCUUUUUUUUUUUAGUUUCUCUUGGUGAUAUGUGGCCUCUAAACUAAGAUAUCUAUUGUAUGUUAAUAUAAGAUAUAUACACACUGACUCUUUGGAUGGUUUAUCGAAUGACUAGGUAAUAAAAUUUAAUUAGCAAUGGAUGUAUAACAUCAUGUUAACUGUUCACCUUACAACACAAACUGUAAACAAACUAUCAAAUAAUAUUUUAACAUAUCUAAAUAUGUGUACUUAUACAAUUUUGCUGAUCAUUUUAUAAAAAAUCUAUCUGAUAAAUUAAAAAGGAGACGAUUAAUACAACAAACUUCCCUUACUUUCUGUGCUUUUAGCUCUACUUCUGACAUUGUAUAAAAUCAUUGAAUAUAAAUCGUAUAUGUUUUAAAUUGUGUGAGAAAAAUUUAUGAGAUUUUCUUUAUUGUAAAGAUAGAUUUCUCACAAGAAAAGAAGGUUAUAUUUUUAUUAUUUUAAGAAUUAAGCAUACGAAAUUUUUUACUUUUUAUAUGAGAUUAGGAAAAGUAGAAGUUGAGAAAAUAUGUGCUUUUUUUUACAUUGGAUAUUUUCAUAAAAUAAUAGUUUAUGUAUUAGUUUUAUAUGGUACUAUAUGACCAUGAUAGUAUAGUAUAUUAUAGUAUGAUAUAUAAAGUAUGCUAAAAUUGAGUAAUAUUUUAAGUAAUUUAAUAUAAUUUUAAUUAUGAGGGUAAUUGAUUAAUUAUCGGAAAACGAAAUAUUACCUAAUUAAUUAAUUACAUUUAUGGAAUAAAGUUAGAUAGCCAAAAAACGUGGCAACAUGCCACAAACCAAACAAGUGACUCUUUAAGUCACACUAUUAGGUGGCAAAUCUAAAAGUGUUGGUAAGGGGAAGCUUUGGAAAUAGUGAGAAAUCCCUAUAUGUCUGUCAUGUUAAAUCUCUCUCCAACCAAGAUAGAGACCGGGGGAACAUUUGUUCUUUAUGCAGUAGCAAAAACAAAAUGCAUUAUCUCAAUAAAUGCAAAUGAUAAGAGUUCUGGGAAAUGAUGAAAGAGUUCCCUCUCUAUGUACUUCUCAUUAAGGAAUUUGCAGGCAUGAAAUAAAUCCUCCUCAGCAUGUCUAUCACAGUUUCUACUAGUAGGUAGCACUUUUAUUAUUCAAACAUUAUUGACAUCACUUAAAGCUAAAAAAGGUAAGCCCCCUACCAUCCUUUCAAAUUAGUAUUCCCAUACUUUUUAGGUAAAUAUAACAUAUUAUGAAAAUUCUUUUGGUGUUUUAUAUUUGAUAAAAGUUUUAAAAAAAUGUGAAUACAUGAUAUAUUUAUAUUUAUACUUGAAGAAAAUUCUAUUUCUGUUUUAAUAUCGGAGAGAUAUUUUAAAUAUGUGGAUACACUAUUUAUUUAUAAAUUUAUAAUAUUGCCAUGUACAUUUGAUGACUUUAAUCUUACUUUAGCACUAUGAGUAAUCAGAAUUAUCCAGAAUCUUUUGAUUUCUCUUCUUCGCCGAUUGUUCUCUUUCCAUAGCUUACACGUGGUUUAAAUUUUAGUUAAUUGCCAAUAUUUUUUAUCUUUCUAAUUAAUACUUUUAGUAACCAAUAAUUUCACCAUCUCCAAACUAUUUAUUGUUGGAGACAAGAGUUAUUGAAGUUGUUUGAAUCUGAGAAAUGAGUUAAACUAUCUGAUAAGACCUUGUGGAUGGAACAUCAUAAUAAUUAAUUUAUGGGACAUUGAAGAGUACACUGCUGAGGCAACCUCAUUAUUAAAUCUUGACAGCCUCUGUGUUACUGUGUGAAAAUAAAUUCCCCAUGAUACAAUCUUCCAAUAACUUUCAUAUAAGGCAUGUUAUUCCCAGUGAUCUUGAAGUUCUAAUUUCUUAAAGUCAUGUUGUUAUAUCAUUUGUUUUUGAGUCUCAGAAAAAUAUGUAAGUUAAAAAAAAGUUUAUUUUAUGAUAUUAUUCAAAGGCAUAAUGGUCUUAUGACAUUCCGAAAGGUUUUAUUAACGUACUUCUCAUGCAUUGCAUUCAUUUACAUGUGCAUUCUCCAUGACUCAAACGGUGUUAUAUACGCGUGUAUAUAUAUAUAUAUAUAUAGGGAAUAUUAGAAAAGGUGAAGGCGUUAUAUACGCACCAACACCUGAUCAGCUGGUAGACGAUGAAGAUGUUGUCCACAGUGGCUGAAAUAUGACUCAGACGGCGUUAUAUACGCGUAUAUAUGUAUAGGGAAUAUGGGAAAAGGUUACGGCGUUAUGUACGCACCACCACCUGAUCAGCUGGUAUACGAUGAUGAUGUUGCCCACAUCGGCUGAAAUAUGACUCAGACGGCAUUAUAUACGCGUAUAUAUGUAUAGGGAAUAGGGAAAAAGNNNNNNNNNNNNNNNNNNNNNNNNNNNNNNNNNNNNNNNNNNNNNNNNNNNNNNNNNNNNNNNNNNNNNNNNNNNNNNNNNNNNNNNNNNNNNNNNNNNNNNNNNNNNNNNNNNNNNNNNNNNNNNNNNNNNNNNNNNNNNNNNNNNNNNNNNNNNNNNNNNNNNNNNNNNNNNNNNNNNNNNNNNNNNNNNNNNNNNNNNNNNNNNNNNNNNNNNNNNNNNNNNNNNNNNNNNNNNNNNNNNNNNNNNNNNNNNNNNNNNNNNNNNNNNNNNNNNNNNNNNNNNNNNNNNNNNNNNNNNNNNNNNNNNNNNNNNNNNNNNNNNNNNNNNNNNNNNNNNNNNNNNNNNNNNNNNNNNNNNNNNNNNNNNNNNNNNNNNNNNNNNNNNNNNNNNNNNNNNNNNNNNNNNNNNNNNNNNNNNNNNNNNNNNNNNNNNNNNNNNNNNNNNNNNNNNNNNNNNNNNNNNNNNNNNNNNNNNNNNNNNNNNNNNNNNNNNNNNNNNNNNNNNNNNNNNNNNNNNNNNNNNNNNNNNNNNNNNNNNNNNNNNNNNNNNNNNNNNNNNNNNNNNNNNNNNNNNNNNNNNNNNNNNNNNNNNNNNNNNNNNNNNNNNNNNNNNNNNNNNNNNNNNNNNNNNNNNNNNNNNNNNNNNNNNNNNNNNNNNNNNNNNNNNNNNNNNNNNNNNNNNNNNNNNNNNNNNNCCUCAGAGGCUUGAUGAUGUUAUGUAUGUACAGACCUAUGCAUCACAUGACAUUUAUAUGCAUAUGCAUGACAUUAUAUAAAUAUUUCAUGAUUUAUAGAGCUAUCCAGACUUACAAGUAUAUGUAAUCAGUUUCACAGGCUUUCAUAGUAGACGAGAUUGGCUUCAGCAAAGGAUCGGUAAAACUCCACCUCAUUUGGAGUGCCGCUGAAUCUAUGAGUCAUCGUGUCACAGUUUUGCUCUAGACGUAUGGGUAAGCUAGUACCCUAUCCCGUUGGAUGUCAAUUAAUCUUAAAAGCUUUGUAGACAAAAGGUUCAGUUAGUACAGUAUGUCAGAGGCCUUGAAGGCCCAUAUGUAUUCAUGUUUUAAGAAAAAUAGUUUAGUGAUAUAGUAUUUUUCCACUUAUAGUUAUAUAUUACGAGUUGUGGCCAUGUUGUUCCAUGAUCGUUACAAAGAAAAAAAAGAAUUGCAAAGUGGUUCGCUCGAGCCAGUGCGACAUCGAGUAUCAGUCAUGCCUCCCCAAGUUUGGGGUGUGACAAGUAUAUUGUUCAACGGUGGGUAUCACUUUGGGCUUUCCUUUGGAUGUUCGGGAUGAAGAGGCAGCCUCCUCCUUCCGAGGAACUUUCUUGGAAGUUUUAGCCAUGAUAGUGGCAAAACUUUUCUGAGAAAGUAGGUAAAGGAUCAAGAACAGAGGAAGAAAGAGUGCGAAAGGGAAUGGAUUUAGCCUUGAAGAUUUUAAGAUAUUGUGAAAGUAUGGAUUAUCAAACGGUUGAUGCAUUUAAAGGAACUGUGUGGGCAGCGGAAAGGACGAACCAAUAGCGGUUCGUGGAAUUCUCGAUCGCCAUGUUUGAUAGUGACCCUUGUGCGGCUUUUUGAGUAUGGCAUUUAAUGCUCUGAUGGACUUACAUCAUAGCGAUGAUGCUUAUGGAGUUGGAGCUCAUGAUCGUUUUCUAUCACUUUAUUCUGGGAAAUAUGGGGACUAUCUGUAUACGGUGGAAAUUGGCGGCUCGAUUUAAUGGCAUCUCGAGGGUUUCCAGUAAUCGACUCCGAGAAUUCUCGACAAUUCCACUUUGAGACAGAAUGAGUAAUGACCGACCCCGAGGCAACGAAAUUAACAGUCUCAGCGGAUCAGGGUGAAGUUCCCAAGGCACGUACAUAUAGCUGGCUAGGUCUAGUGGUCUAGUCAGAAAAGCGAAUCAAGGCAUUAAAUGGUUGUAUCAGUCUAUAUCUUUGUAAUUAAUGUAUUUGUACUAUGUUGGGAUCUCCCCUCCUAUAUAAAGGGGAUCCUUGUCAUUUUGUAAGGAUUUGUUGCUCCAAACUAUAUAUACAAGAACAUUCUCUCUGCUCUCUAACACUUUCUCUUGGUCUCGUUAUCUUAUUUAUUGCUUCUAUUUAUUGCGUUCUACUAAAAGUUCAUCAUUCAUUGCUUAUUAUUGGCCAUAAAGAGCCAGCGAUUCGGUUUGAUUAACACCUCGAUCUUAAGCUCUUAGUUCGUUUCUAAAUCUUUCACAUAACAUCUACCAUCUAACAACUAGUAUAAAAAUAGAUCACGUAUUUUUAGAACCACUAAAUCAAAUUUAAUUGUUAUUACUAUUUUCACGGUAAACAAAUGCUUUUGUACUGUGUUAGGGUCCCCCCUCAUAUAAAAAGAGGAUCUUUGUCAUUUUGGAAUCAUCUGUUGCUCAACGCUAAAUAGACAAGAACAUUCUCUCUUCUCUCUAACAUAUUCUCUUGCUCUCAUUACUUGCAUUUAUUACUUAUAUUCGUUGUGCUCCAUUUAUUGUUCUUCAUUUAUUGCUUAUUAUUGGUCAUAAAGAGUAGUCAUUUAUUUAUUGUAACUGUUAGUCAUUCAUCGAUUACCCUCGAUAGCUCCCAGCCGAGCAUUAGACUCGACCCUGAGGCCCUCGAAUAGGCAAUCUCGAGGCCCUGAUUAUUAACCAUUCGGUUUGGUUAUCACCUUGCUCUCAAGCUCUUAUCUCAUUUCUAAGUCUUUCACAUAGCAUCUAUUUCUUAACAACUAGCACAAAAAUAGAUCACGCAUUUUUAGAACCUCAUAAUCAAACUUAAUUGCUAUUACUAUUUUUACGGUAAACAGUUUGGCGCCCACCGUGGGGCUAAAAAUAAUAGUGAUUAUUUUCUUGCUAGUUUUACUACAUAACGCAAGUUAUCUUUCACACUUUUUCUUGCCCAAUAUCUUUGAUUUCAGGUCAAAAUGUCUGACUCAGUGAACAACAAUCUUGAGAACCAUGGAGAGAAUAGUGUGGAUGUUCCAGGUGUUGGUGUACCACCACGAAACCCUGAGACACCAGAACUAAUUCCCGUGGACGUGGUCUCACGCGACGCCCAACACGUCGAUAUAAGCUCCUACACUAACAGGAGCAUGCACCAAGGUGACCAACAAGAAGCGCAGAAAACCCCAACUAUGGAAGAACGAAAGGUUAGCCUUCACGUUAUUUUUGAAAUGUUACAGGCACAACAGCUGGCGAUUACUCAGUUGCAAAGUCACCAGAAAACUCCUAGCACGAUAGCACUGGGGAAGGCCCCCCCGGCCGAGCAGGUACUAAAGAAAUCGAGCAACAACGGGUCGGCAGUCGAUCCCACCAUCGUAAAGAUGCUCGAGGACCUCACACAGAGGAUCGAGUCGGGUGAGAAGAAGAUAGAAGCCAACGACGAGAAGGUCGAGACCUACAACUUCAGGGUCGAACAAAUUCCGGGCGCAUGCACCCCCAAUCCUAAAAGGGGUAUAGUCGAAGAAGUUCGUGCAAAAGCCAUUCCCGCAGGAAGCGGACCCAAAACCCAUUCCAAAGAAGUUCAGAAUGUCCAGUCUUCCGAAGUACAACGGAACCUCGGACCCCAACGAGCACAUCACUACCUACACUUGCACGGUGAAGGGCCACGACCUAAAGGACGAUGAGAUCGAGUCCGUCUUGCUAAAGAAGUUCGGGAAAAUACUCUCGAAAGGGGCCAUGAUGUGGUAUCACAACCCAACUCCUAACUCUAUACACUCAUUUAGCAUAUUAGCAGAUUCUUUCAUAAAAGCACAUGCCGGUGCCAUCAAAGUAGCAACGAGGAAAUCCUACAUCUUCAAGAUCAAGCAGAGGUAGAAUGAGAUGCUACGAGAGUUCGUAUCUCGUGUUCAAAUGGAAAGAAUAGAACUACCACCAGUCUCCUACGACUGGGCAGUGCAAGCCUUCACUCAAGGUCUGAAUGAAUGAACCUUAGUGGUAUCGAACUAGCUGAAACAGAACCUAUCCGAGUAUCCUGCCGUGAACUGGUCGGACGUCCAUAACCGAUACCAAUCAAAGAUUAGAGUCGAGGACGACCAACUAGGAUCCCCCUCAGGCUCGGUAUACCCAAGUAGGCUUUUAGCGAAGGAGCCAAAGCAAAACAAAGAAAUAUACCAGCCAUACCCCGAAGACAAGAGAAACGCCCAGAGGCGCAACAUACCACGCAAUAAUCGUAGGAUAGACCGAGGCCAGAAUCCUCGGGGACUCGUCAAUAGAGUUGGAUUCGAUAGGCACACAGGCCAACGGAGGAACCUCGCUUGUUGGAAAACAACUUCAACGUCGACGUAUCAAACAUCAUGUUUGCAUUUAGUAAAAUCAGAGACACCAGGUGGCCUAGGCCUGUGCAAUCAGAUCCUUCACAAAGAAAUCAUAACUUAGUGUGUGAAUUUCACAUCACGCAUGGCCACAGGAUCGAGGAUUGCCACCAGCUCAGAGAAGAAGUAGCCAGACUAUUUAGUAAAGAUCACCUUCGAGAAUUCCAUAGUGACCGGGCCAAAAAUUAGUUCCGGGAAAGAGAGGCGACCAAGAAGAACGAAACAAAUGAGCCAUAACAUGUCAUCCACAUGAUCUUGGGAGGCAUCGAUGCCCCACAGGAGCCCAUAAUGAGAAGAACAAAAAUAUCCAUCACCAGAGAAAAGCAAACUCGGGGUUACAUACCUGAGGAUGCUCUCACAUUCAGCGACGAGGAUAUCGAGACCUUGUCUAAGCCUCACAACGAUGCAUUGGUAAUCUAUUUCUUUGUAAAUACAUUUAAAAUUAAAUAUGUACUUGUGGAUCCAGGUAGCUCGGCCAACAUUAUUAGGUCGAGGGUGGUGGAGCAACUCGAACAGCUUGACCAAAUCGUGCCCACCUCUCGGGUCCUAAACGGGUUCAAUAUGGCGAGCGAAACAAUGAAAGGGGAAAUCACCCUCCUAGUCAACGUGGCCGGCACAACCCAAAAUGCCAAAUUCCAUGUCAUCGAAGGAGACAUGAGAUACAAGUCCUUGUUCGGAAGGCCGUGGAUACACUGCAUGAGAGCAGUACCAUCCACCCUCCAUCAAAUGAUUAAAUUCCCGACAAAGGAUGGGAUAAAACUGUCUAUGGGGAGCAACAUGCAGCAAAGGAAAUGUUCGCGGUGCAUGCUGUGGCACCAACACCACUACCCCCACCAUCGAAGCAGCCAAAGGAUAAGCAAGCAAUAAAAUAGCGAUAACAAGCUACAUUCUCGGCUCCAUCCGACUGAACAAAAUGAGGACUGUACCAAGUCCUCAUAACAAAUGAUCGAAUCACAUCGAGGUCCGAUACGCCGUCAGCACUAAGGUAUGGCCAUCUCCCUUUUUCAAUUAUAUUGUAUACUAACCUGAACGGAGGUAUCGAAUCGAAAUGGCCGGAGCGUUUUCCAACUCGAAGGCCUUAUGUCCCCAAAAGCAUACGUUGCACUCUUUUCCUUCGAUCGGGUUUUAUGCCAAGAAGGGUUUUACCGGCAAAGUUUUUAAUGAGGAAACAUCUAUAUGCUAAAUAAUAAAGACUCAACAAGGUAUCCAAGGCUUCCUUUCAAUCAACCUCGAAUACUGGGGUGCAUCCCCCUGGAAGAUCGCCUCCUCAGAGAAGCCAAGAUGUGCCGAAUAGGGACUCGAUAGGAAGAUAAUGUACCGGGCCAAAUGGUCAAACGAGCCGUGUCCGCAUUGAAUAACCCAGCCCUUAACAGCAAAAACAUGUGUGCGUACACCAAGUAAUCAAAAUAAUACUUUCCAAAGCAUUUUGCAUUUCAAAGAAGCUUGGCAUUUUUGCAAAAACGGCUCCAGAGCCAAAAAACGUCCCGGACACUUGGGGACUGGCGUCAACAAUUCAAAGCUUGAAUGACCUCCGGGUCGGCGGUCCAAACUCAUAAGCCCUCAAUGAGGUAACAUCAAAUCACAAAAUUACUCCAAAGCAAAAAGCGUCCCGAACAUCGGGGACUGGCAUCGAAAAUUCAAGGCCACAUAACCUCCGGGUCGGAAACCCCAAAAUCGCAAGCCCUCAAUGAGGAAAUAACAAGUUUACUUGUAAUGGAUCCCGAGCCAAGAAACCCUCGAUGACUCGAGGACUACCACCAAUCGCCACCAUCGACUUAUCAAAACCCGAGUCCAUAAGACCACAUGCAAGCAACCUCGGUCUCGUAAGACCUAUGUAAGGCAACAUCAAUAUCUUUAAGACCUCAAGCAAGGCAUGAACCAUACUUGUACCAAGUGACAAUAUCUGUAAGGCCUCAAGCAAGGCAUGAACCAUACUUGUACCAAGUAUCCAAAACGGUAAGACCUCAAAGGCAUGUAAAAUUUUGUAAGACCUUACUAAAGGCAUAAACAAGAUCUUAAAGUUAAGGCUAUAUAUCGAACUUGUAAGACCCCUAAAACGGCAUACUCUCGAUAUAGACGUCGAAAAUACUUCACUCGGGACUAAAAGGCUCUGGCCAAACACAAAUGACUACGGUCAUAAGGCUGUACCAGCCAAACUAACAUGACUAAGGGACUCCCGACCGUCACUAUAUAAUCACAGGCCUUCAAUUACUUUGAAUAUACUUUGAAAAGAACUGGUUAAAUAGGCUACCCUCGACAUAGGCAAAAGAGCUUCGACCAUGUCAGCUCCAACUAUAAGGCUUCGAGAUACUCAGCCACAGAGCCAAACCUCCCGAGGUGAUCGAUCAUCGCCAUAUAACGACUCACAAUUGAGGUUCCUAUUGAACCGUCGAAGAGUCAGGCAAACACAUUUUCAAAUAGUCCUUAACGAGGGAAACAUAAAGCCUAUAAAAGGUCGCACCGGCCCAAUGCGUAAGAGCCACUAUCGCCAGCCCAUACAAAAGGUUGUACUGAACAAUGCGUAAGAGCCACUGUUGCCAGCCCAUACAAAAGGUCAUACUGACCCAACACAUAAGAGCAUAAGGGCCAUCUCCUAAUUCAAAAACGUGAGGGUGGAAUGAGCUCGAGUCGAAACCCGAUUCGGAGACUGAACCCAAAACAGUUAACUAAUAUGCCUAAAAUCAAAAGAGUAAGAGCCAUUGUUGCUAGCACUAAAAUCAAAGGUUGCACCGACCAAACGCGUAAGAUCCAUUAUCGCCAGCACUAAACUGAAGGUCACGCCGACCCGAUGCAUAAGAACCUAAGGGCCAGCUUGAAAUUCAAAAACUUGAGGGUCGAAUGAGCACGAGUCGAUACCCGACUCGGAGACUGAACCCAAAAUAGUCGACUAGACACACCUAAGAACACAAGCAUAAGAGCUCGAACGCCUUAUACUAAAAGGUUGUACCGACCAAGUGCGUAAGAGCCUAUGGGCCAGCUUAAUGAGCCCCAGGGCCAUACCACAAAUCUACAGGUUCCUUCUAAUAAAAAAAUCAGUUGAUCUGGAUAAAAUCAAGGGAAAAAGAAAUGCAGGAGAAAUGAAAUCGUGAGGCUUUCCUUUCAUACAUAUAUGCGGGAAAAUACAAGCUCCAUUUAUAACAUACUUUGAAAGUACUAUGUACAGAAUUAGAAAAGGAAAUCUACGUCCACCUUGGGGACUAUGGCCCGUCGGCCUCAUUCUCGCUAUCCUCGGCGUUGGACAGAAGUGACUAAGCACCACGUUUGUCCGCUUUUGCCCGCUUCACCUCUUCCAAAAGGUCAAAGCCCCUAGCAUGAAUCUCCUCGAGGGUUUCCCUUCGAUACUUACACCGAGCAUAUUUCUUGCUCCUAGCCUCGCGGUCAAGAGUCCUUCUCAGCUCAGCUUGAGUAUCGGCUGCGUCCUUCAAAUAGACCACCACUUUCUGAUCAACCUUAGUUCGGCUCAUUACGGCUUCAGCCCGGGCAUCCACAACCUCGGCCUUUAUCUUCAAAAGCUCAGACUCGAGCUUCCUAAACAUAUCUGUUUGAACCAAGAUAUUAUCACGAGCUAAGCGAAGUUCAACCUUAAAGGCAGAGGCUUUAGCCAGAGGACCCUUCCUUGCUAAAGCCUGAACAUCUCCCUCAGCCUUUAACUCAUCAUACUCGAGCUUGGUUCGGCCAGCUUCGUUCCGAAGGUGCUCCAGGUCCUCCGUCUUUUUCUGCAACUGAAAUAAAUGAAACAUUAGACUCAGGAGCUACAAGAAGGAACACACACUCCCUCGGAACAAAAACUACCUGCUGCUUCAGGUAGCUCUCAUAAUUCAAACUUUGACUAGCCUCAUAUCGUAAGCGUCCCAACUCAACUUCCCUUUCAUUGCAAAGGAGCAUAAGGAAUUUCUCCCCAUCCAAAACUUUCUGCAGCCUGGCCGCACGUCGAAGCAACUCAAACUUAAGCUUGUCAAAGGCCUGCAAAAGAAAACUCAAUAAGAAAGGGAAGGCGCGAAACUCAAAAGGCAUGUGCCAAUACUCACCACAGAGUGAAGCCGCUGAGCUUCCUUGAAGUUCGAGCGCACAUAUGCUAGUAUGGCUCCCUCAGUCCCAGAAGAGCCGACCCCAGUUAGGAUAUGGUCGCUCGAUGUAUAAGAUCCCGUGUUUUGAGUAUCCCUCAAAGUACCUUUGAUAGGAGAAAGAAUCGGCGGCAGAUAACCCUCAUGCCUUGAAGUACCUUCAAUGGAAAAGGAAGACGGCAUAAGAGGAGAAACUUCCUUUCCAAAACUAGAAAUCGUGGGUGAAGCAGGCUCAGUCAAUACAUUCUCUCCGAGCCCCGGUCUGGGUUCGUCUUGCUUUGAGCAUCGUCGCCCUGAAAAGGCAUUUCUUGCUUAUUGUUAUUAUUAUCAUCCCUCAGUCUUAAAGCCGACGAUCUUUUUACCUAUCCUAAAAGGCACGUCCUCGCUUUAAGGGACUCCCCAAUGCCUACAAUGAUAGAGUUAGUACGCAGAGAGUAAAAGUGCCAUUCCGAGAGAAAAGGGGAGGGGGGGGGGAGCAAAUCACAUAGCACAUACCAUGGUGUUUUGCCUCCCACCUAUCCUUAGAUAAAGCUGGCCACUUAUGCUCAUUGUAAGUCGAGUGGGUCGCUAACUUCUGAACCCAAUCCGACAGAUCGGGAACCUCGCCUGGCAUCCACGAAAUCGCUGCAUAAAAGGAAAAGAAGGCGCAUUUACGAAGCCAGCCUUCACCAUAAACAAAACUAAGAAGGCACGAGUGUACCACUUACGUGUAAAAUUCCACUCCUCAAGAAAUGGCAGAAACUCCGCUGGAAUGAUAUCGACAGUCUGUACCCGAACAAAUCAGCUCGUCUAUCCCCUAUAUCUGUCUUCUUCAUCGUCAAUAAUGAAAGGCAUGGUGGAUAGGCAUCACAGGCUCAGCAUGCCUCGAUGGUGAAGGGCCGAUAUAGCCUGGUGAGGUGACUAAGAGUGAAUUCAUGACCUGCUUCUUCCGCAAAGAACAUCAUCGUCAAUACUAUCCGCCAAAAUGAUGGGUGAAUUUGCACCAAGGUAACCUUGUACUUGCGAUAGAAGUCUAGCACAACCCCAUCAAGGGGCCCCAGUGUAAAGGGGUAUGUGUACACGCUCAAAAGCCCCUCGGCAUGAUCCAAUAUGCUCUCUUCCAAGGAAGGUAUCUGCAAUACUACCUUUUUCUCCCAUCCACAAUCUUUCUUCACCAACUCAAGUUGUCCCUCUCGUGUUAAAGAAGUGAACUUCAAGGUACGCUCUCGAUGACCCUGAACGUCGGGAGGCUUUUCAGACGAGAAGUCCCCCUUUGAAGCAAAAUGGCCCGAGGCUGUCUCGCUUGGCAUCAGCAGCACCCCACCACCAAGCGGAAACCAGAGGCGGAACUUUCUCCUCCUUGCCGAAUGGGUCCUGGCAUAACAUCCAUAACUGCGGUAAAACCAGGGAAUCAAAUCAAGAAUUUGAGCAAGGGCUUCAAAAUUAAGACGGCGAAGGACCUUACAUGGGAAAGAAGAACUUAGUGGAGGAGGAAAUCUGCUCAAAAUAGCGGGAUCCUCAAAAUAAGGAAUGCAAACCUAUAUGCCUAGAGAGAGCAGCAACCAUCCACUUGCCUAAAAGGCCAAUUAAGGAAUACUGAAAAAGGCACGAUCACUUCGAUCAUCUUAUAAUCAUGUUAUGCGAUCAACGCCACCAUACGAUACUCUAGGGAUCAAAACCUCCACAUCGACAGGUCCCGAGAUGGUACCAGAUCUCGAGGACAUUCGCCAAAAAGAAGAUAGGAUCCAGAAAGCCAUUGUCAUCAAUACACGUCCCGAGAUGGUACCCGAUCUCGAGGACCUCCAUCGAAAAUAAGAUAGGCUCCAAGAAGCCAUUAAUAUCAUUACAAGUCCUGAGAUGGUACCCGAUCUCUAGGACCUUCACCAAAAAGAAGAUAGGCUCCAAGAAGACAUUGGUAUCACUAUACGUCCCAAGAUGGUACCCGAUCUCGAGGAUCUCCACCAAGAAGAAGAUAUGCUCUAAGGGGCCAUUAAUAUCAUUUAGAGACUCAAGAUGGUACUCAAUCUCGAGCGCUUCUCUCAAGGAGAAGAUGAGCGUUAAAACUCUACUCAUAUGGGCUUGGCCUCGAGGUACCAUCUAAACUCGAGUAAGCCCUCAUCUGAGGUCUAUCUGUAACCCCUUAAGGCUAUCUACACUGAGUUUGAAACAAGUCUCCACGUAGCCCGAGCUUGAGUGAAACCCCACUCGGGGACUACUCCCAAAAGCCUAAAGGAUACCUUUAUUCUUAGGCGUCCGAGCAAAUCCCCCUGUCAAAGACUAUCGCGGGGUCUAAAAGGCUAAGUCUCGUAUUGAAAUUUCAAAACCAUACUCUCAUUCAACUCAAAGUCGGGGAUCCCGACGACCCACGUUUAUCAAACUAAUCCGGUCUUGGUCCAAGGUAUGGCAAAGGGUUUUACGGGCAAUCGAGUCAAUCAAUCAAGAGCCAGAAGAAAUGCUCAUGCCCGGGCUCGAUAUUCGCACCCAUCGAUUGAAUCAUACAUUCAGAUUCUCCACAAAUGCAGAUAAAAAGAGAUAUAGCAUAAAUCAGAGACAAAUUAAAAAAACAUCUUUAUAUGCAUAAGCACGUGAUUACAAAAGCCCACGAGGGGUCCUUACACAGAAACAAAGAAGCAAAAAAGUGUACACAUAGUAAAAGCCAAGAGCCUAAUCUAUUCUCGGGGGUGCAUCCUCAGCGACAGUAUCUUCAAGCGCCAUCUCCUCGAGGGUCUCGUUUCGGUCUUCCAAAAUGGUAUCUCAAAGGGAGAGGAUGAAGAAAAGGGUGGAAGGAUAUUGGAAGACACUUGAAUGAAAAGUUAGUUCCAGGAGGCUCCCAUUUAUAGAAUGUGGCGGUGCAAUCGACAACGCCAUCAAUAUCUUUGAAAGACGUAUCGGCAGGCGCAAUCAAUGCGUUUUUGGGAACUGAAUCAGUAGCGAAAUUAUUGCUUUGGAGAAUGAGAAUCGACAGUACAAUGAAUGAUGCUGAAACGAUGAGUCAACAGGAUGCCUCAAUUAUCGCAAAAGCUUGUGUCAUAAGUAUGAAAUCAUAAGCGGGAUGUUCGAAGAGAUGGGUAUCAAAGUCGUUUCUUAUCGUUCCACUCUAAGAAACGCAGGGACUAUCUGUAUACGGUAAAAUCGGAGGGUCCAAUUUUCCAUCGUUACGACGCUGCCUAAGUGUGUCUCAAAGGCUCGAGACCCCAGCCGAUUUCCAUCCCUUGAGGGCUGUUGACGCUUGACCUCAGAGCAGUACAGACCGACGAUUACUGAGAGAAAGUGGGGAGUUUCCAAGGCGCAUAAAUAGGGCUGACAAAGUCUAGUGGACUAGUCUAAAAACGAAUCAAGGCAUUAACUAGCUGUACCAUCUCCAUAUCUUUGUAUUUAAUGCUUUUUGUACUAUGUUAGGGUCCCCCCUCAUAAAAAAAGGGAACCUUGUCAUUUUGGAAUCAUAUGUUGCUCAACACUAAAUACACAAGAAUAUUCUCUCUGCUCUCUAACAUAUUCUUUUGAUCUCAUUACUUCCAUUUAUUACUUAUAUUCAUUGUGCUCCAUUUAUUAUUCUUUAUUUAUUGCUUAUUAUUGGCCAUAAAGAGCCAUCAUUGAUUUAUUGUAAUUGUUAGUCAUUCAUCGAUUACCCACGAUAGCUCCCAGUUGAGCAUUAGACUCGACCCCGAGGCCCUCGAAUAGGCAAGCUCGAGGCCCCAAUUAUUAACCAUUCGAUUUAGUUAUCACCUUGCUCGCAAGCUCUUAUAUCAUUUCUAAGUCUUUCACAUAACAUCAAUUGCUUAACAACUAACAUAAAAAUAGAUCAUGUAUUUUUAGAACCUCAUAAUCAAAUUUAAUUCUUAUUACCAUUUUCACGGUAAACAACUUCGUUCAUCACGAAGUACGGUACAUACUAUUACAAUGUAAUGCCCUUCGUGCUGAAAAACGCGGGAGCCACGUACCAGCACCUAGUUUAUAAAAUGUUCGAACAUCAAAUAGGAAAAUUCAUGGAAGUUUAUAUUGAUGACAUGCUAGUUAAGUCCCUGCGUGCAGAAGACCAUUUGGCUCAUUUGCAGGAGAAAUUCGACAUCCUCAUAAGCUACAACAUGAAACUCAAUCCCGAGAAAUUUACCUUUGGAGUGGGUUCGGGCAAAUACUUAGGCUUCAUGGUGUCAAACAGGGGAAUUGAGAUCAACCCCGACAAAAUCAAGGCCAUAGAAGAAAUCACGAUGGUAAACAAUGUGAAGGCCAUGCAAUGUCUCACCUGGCGGAUAACAGUCUUGGGCCGAUUCAUAUCGAGAUCAUCAGACAUGAGUCAUCAUUUCUUCUUCUUAAUCAAAAAGAAUAUCAACUUCAAAUGGACUCCAGAAUGCCAACACGCCUUAGAAGAGUUGAAGUGAUAUCCGACUAGCCCACCUUUACUCCACACCCCAAAGGAGGAUGAGACGUUGUAUUUAUACCUUGCCGUAUCCAAAGUAGCGGUAAGUGGUGUGCUAGUUUGAGAAGUACAAGGUACGCAAUUCGUUAUUUAUUAUGUAAUUCGGACCCUGGGAGAUGCCAAAACUAGGUAUCCUCAGCUAGAAAAAUUAGCUCUUGCAUUAAUAAGCGCAUCGCAAAAAUAUAAACCUUAUUUUCAAUGCCAUCAUAUUUGGUUUUUAACAACAUAUCCUCUCCGAAGCAUAUUGCAUAAGCCCGAAUUAUCGUGUCAACUGGCCAAAUGGGCCAUCGAAAUCGGAGGAUACGAUAUUGAGUAUCAACCCCGAACGACUAUCAAGUCCCAAAUUCUGGUGGAUUUUGUAGACGACUUUUUGCCCUCCCUCAUGCCCGAGGUAGAGAAAUAGAUUUUACUAAAGACAAGAACAUCUUCCGGGGUAUGGACCCUAUUUAUUGACGGUGCCUCGAACGUAAGAGGAUCCGGUCUCGGCAUAGUUCUGAAGCCGCCAACGGCCGACACUAUCAUGAAAUCUAUUAAAACUGCAAGAUUGACUAACAACGAAGCCGAAUAUGAGGCUAUGAUUACAGGUUUGGAAUUGGCCAAAGGCCUAAGAGCUGAAGUCAUCGAAGCAAGAUGUGAUUCCCUCUUAGUAGUAAAUUAGGUAAAUGGGAUCUUCGAGGUUCGAGAAGACAGGAUGCAAAGAUACUUAGACAAAAUUCAAGUCACAUUGCACCGCUUCAAAGAAUGGACUUUGGUCCACAUACCUCGAGAGAAGAAUAUCGAGGCCGAUGCCCUCGCAAACCUGGGAUCAUCUGUCAAAGAAGAUGACCUACUCCCCGGGGCUAUUGUUCAGCUAUCCAAAUUAGUAAUCGAGGAAGGUCAUAUCGAGAUCAACUCCACUAGCUUGAUAUGGGAUUUGAGAAAUAAAUAUAUCGAUUAUUUGGAAAGUGGGAAACUACCCGCGGAUCCAAAAGAGUCGAGGUCCCUACGAACCAAAGCAGCACGAUUCUCGCUCGACGAAAACAAAACUCUGUACAGAAGAACCUUUGAUGGGCCCCUAGCAGUGUGUCUAGGGCUGGGGGACACAGAUUAUGUUCUUCGAGAAAUCCAUGAGGGCACCUGCGACAAUCACUCUAGUGCCGAUUCCUUAGUCCGAAAAGAAAUCAGAGCAGGCUACUAUUGGGACAACAUGGAAAAGGGCACCAAAGAAUUGUCCAUAAGUGCGAAAAAUGCCAGAGAUUUUCCCCGAUGAUUAACCAACCCCGUGAACAGCUGCAUUCGGUCUUGUCUCCAUGGCCGUUCAUGAAGUGGGGGAUGGACAUCAUCGGACCUCUAUCAACGGCACCAACUAAAGCUGGAUUUAUUUUAUUUAUGACUGACUACUUCUCAAAAUGGGUGGAAGUGAAGGACUUCGAAAAGAUAAGUGAAAAAGAAGUCAUUAACUUCAUCUGUGACCACAUCAUGUGUCAAUUGGGGAUUACUUCCGAGAUAGCAUGUGAUAACGGGAAACAGUUCAUCGGAAGCAAAGUAACACAGUUCCCCGAGGAUUAUAAAAUCAAAAGAAUCCUGUCGACACCCUACCACCCAUGUGCAAAUGGUCAGGCCGAAUCUACAAACAAUAACAUCAUUGAAAACAUAAAAAAGAAGUUGGAAAGUACUAGGGGGAAAUGGAGAAACAUAUUACUCGAAGUGCUAUGGGCAUUUCGAACAACUCCAAAAUCAAGCACAGGAGAAACACCCUUCUCUCUAGUAGAUGGUGUCGAGGCUUUGAUACCGGCAGAGGUUGGACAACCAAGUGCCAGAUUCUGACACACCACCGAGAGCUCAAACAACGAGGCUAUGACUGCGGCCCUCGAACUAUUGGAUGAAAAGCAAGAAGCUUGCUGGUCCGAAUGAUUGCCCAUAAACAAAGGAUCAAGAGGUACUAUAACAAGAGAACAAAUCUCCGACAUUUCGGAGUCAUGGACUUAAUCCUGAGGAAGUCACCCUAAACACUCGAAACCCUAAUGAAGGAAAGCUAGGCCAAAACUAGGAAGGAUUGUACUGCGUCCUCGGAGUGAUCGGCAAAGGAUCUUACAAGCUCGGUACCAUGGAAGGCGAAAAAAUUCCAAGCAAUUGGAACGUAUUAAUGCUCAAACGUUACUACUCCUAAGGUGUCCGAUGGAAGACGCCGAAACACUCCUCGACGCAAAGACCUUGUGUUUUAAAGCAUGUGUUGCACUAUUUUUCUUUCGAUCGGAUUUUAUCCCAAGAAGGGUUUUACCGUCAAGGUUUUUAACGAGGCAACAUCUAUAUGCUACUUAAGGAGAACUUAACAAGUAUUCAAGGCUUCUCUUCAGUCAACCUCGAACACUGAGGGGCAUCCCAUUGGAAGAUCACCUUCUCAAAGAAGUCAAGAUGAGCCAAAAAAGGUCUCGAUAGGAAAAUGAUGUAUCGGGCCAAACGGUCGAAUGAACCGUGCCCGCAUAAAAUAAUUGAACCCUUGACGACGAAAACAUGUUUACUUGUACCAAGUAAUCAAAGAAUAUUUUCCCUCCAUCAAAAUGGUUUGCGCUGCGAAAAAGUAUGCUAUUUUUACGAGAAACAGCUCCAGAGCCAAAAAAAUCUCCUGAACACUCGGGCAUUGAUAUCAAAAACUCGAAUCCAUAUGACCUCCGGUCAAAAAUUUCAAACUUGUAAGCCCUCAAUAAGGCAACACCAAGUUUACAAAGAACGACCCUAGAACCAAGAAACUUUCGACAUCUCGGGGACUGUCGUCGAUUGUCAUCCCAUCGAGCUAUUAGAAACUCAAGGCCGUAGGACCCCAAGCAGGUAACCUCGAGCCUGAAAGCCCUCCAUGUGGCAAUACUAGAAAAUGUAAGACCUCUAUAAGGCAACACAAAAACUGUAAGACCUCAAGCAAGGCAUGAGUUACACUUGUACCAAGUAACCAAAUCUGUAAGACCUCAAGUAAGGCAGGUUCAAAAUUAUAAGACCUUACAAAAGGCAUAAAUCCCGAUCUUAAAGUUAAGUCUAUACAUUUGAACUUGUAAGACCCCUAUAAAGGCAUACCCUUGAUGAAAACACCGAAACUACUUCACUCGGGGACUGAAAGGCUACGACCAAAUGCAAUGACUACGGUCACAAAGCUCCGACCAAACUCACGAGACUCAGGGAUGCCCGACCGUCACUAUAAAAUUACAGGCCUUCAAAUUACAUCGAAAAGAAUCGGUUAAUCAGGCUACCCUCGGCAUAAGCAAAAGAGCGUUGAUCAUGUCAGCUCCAAGAAAUAGGAUUUGAAACGAUUCAGCCAUCGAGCGAAACCUCCCGAGGUGCUCAUAUAUAGCUGCAUAACGACUCAUAAUGAAGGUUCUUAUCGUACUGUCGAAGAGUCGGGCGAACAUAAAAAUUUCAAAAAAGUUUUUAAUGAGGGAAAAAUAAAGCCUACAUAAGAGGUCAUACCGACCCAACGCAUAAGAGCCCAGACGACAUCCUAUAUUAAUAGGUCAUACUGACCCAACGCGUAAGAGCCCAGAUGCCAGCUUACAUUAGAGGUCAUACCGACCCAACACGUAAUAGCCUAAGAUCCAGCUUAAACUUUGAAAACUUUAGGGUCAACGAGCUCGAGUCGAAAUCUGACUCGAAGACUAAGCCCAAAAUAGUUAACUAAAAAAGCCUAAGGGCAAAUGUGUAUGAGCCUAUGAGCCAGCCCAACAAGCCUCAAGGCCGAUUAGUAAACCUAAGGGUUUUACCUCGAAGUCCAAUUCAUCUGGCUAAUAAUUGACGACCGUAAAAAUUUAAAGCAAAGGAAAAACAAAAAAUGAUCAAAAACAAAAAAGCCUUUACAUACUUGUUGGAAGGUUCACAAAGGUGUAUUUACAAGGCCUAUGUCUGAAGACCUUACAAGGACAAAAAAGCAAAUAAAACCCUAAUCUACCCCAGGGGCUAUGCCUUCGACGGCUCCCUCAAAAAUUGUGCUUUAAACAGCACCGGCCAUGACCCCUGGGCCUUCGGGGAUCUCGCCUCCAUCUUUAUCAUCUCCCAAACCCAUCUCCGAGAUUCUAAACCGGGUCAAUCACAACUGUGCUUCCUCGGACACCUUCCUGGCCAGAGCAUUUGUAGCAACGACAUCCUCUUUAUGCAAAGACACAAACGCCUCGGCUUCAACCCUAACCUCGAAUAGCACAGCAACCAGUUUAGAAGACCUUUAUACUUAUUACUCUCCGUCCUCACGUCAUCAAGUUGAUGCCCGACUAAGACCACCUCCGCCUAGAGGGUAUCUCUUACAGAGUCUAUCUCACUCACGUGCCGCUUCAGUUUGAGAAUUUCAGAGUCCCUAGCUCAGAAUCCCUCCUUCAUUAGGACAUCUUUCUUCUCAAGAUGUGAUCGACCCGAAGGUGUUAAAACACUGAAGUCGGAUAAACAUGUAGAUAAAAAGCAAGCAAUAACUAUAUAACCUGCUUAGUGAGAUGAGUCCUUUCUCGGGACGCCACCUUCAAACAAUCCCGAAGGCCACGGAGUUCCUCCUCCCUCUUGGUAGAAAGAGCUCUGAGCUUGUCAGCUUCCAUGGUGAGCUUCUUGUGCUCACCCUCGUAAUGAGUCAGCUCGAUUGAAACUUGGCAAAGGUCUAAUUUUAAAGCACCUUGUCCUGGAACCAUGAAAGAAACGAUGUUAGCAAGACAAAAAUCGGGACCCCAAGCAUAAUCUACAAAAAGAUUACCUGCUCACAAAGCCUGUCGAUCUCACUGAAAAUAAGCGAGGCGUCAAGCUGAGGUUUUUCCUCAAGUAUAGCAAAAAGCCUCUCAAAAACAUUUUUAUCUCCAACGGACACCCCCACGUCAGAAGACUCUUUAUUUUGGGCAUCCUGCACCUCCUUCGGAAAAAUUCUAUCCCAAAUGGGAAUCACUCACUUCAAUAACUACGACUGGAUUAGUCGAGGCCAUCUCCUGUUUUUGGAAAGCUUCAGAACUAGGCUCCCCCAGACCGCCUAAUGAAAGCACCUCAGCUCGAGGAAAGUUUUGGCCGUCAUUUAACUCGAGGAUAUUACUCGAUGCACCCUCGAGGGUCUCUUCAGUACAAGGUAGGAAAGCAACAUAAUCAAGUUCCAAUUUAGAAGCCAUCGACUCUACAGUAUGUGGGACAGUCAGGUUUUCUCCCCCCGUGGGUGCUUCCAAGGAAUUACUUUUCCUUUCGCCUUCAGCUCGGGGACUCCCUGAUGCUUCUGGAGUUAAGGUUGCUGAAUCAGCCUUAGGUUCUUCCACUUUGGCUUUCUUGGAUUUCGGAGAAUGAGUCGGCGACCUCCUUCGUCUGUUCUUCUCUUCGUCAGGAUUCGGGGUAUCCGUUUCACCAAGCUGUGCUUCCUUCAUCAAAGGGACCUCCCCUAGACCUGCACAAAUGCAAAAUAUAAACACAAUAGAGAGGUAAGAAGAACACUCUUGAGGGCUUGAUGAUGCAGUAAGAAAAAAGGAGCGAAAGAAGAAGUUUUCAUACAGGUCUAACGUGCACGUUGGAGAGGACCAAAGAACAGCCAACCACCCUCAUUAAUUCAAAUGCUUUUAAGGGUUAUGUGGACGCAACCUUUAGGCACCUAUAUUUCCAUAUCAAUCGCUUGGUAGGGCGUGACUAAUGUCGUAAUGGAAGUAUCGAAGGGGCAAGAAUUUGAGAUCGUUUCUUAUCGUUUUACUCUAAGAAACACGGGGACUAUCUAUAUACAGGUAAAGUCCGAGAGCCUGAUUUUACGAUCAUUGUGUCUUUCCGUAGCUUCACCUUGAAGGCCCCGGGGACAGUCGAGGUUCGACCUCAAGAGUUCUUUAUGUCCGACCACAGGGUAGCACAAAUCGAUGGUUAUCAUGGAUAAGCGGGAAGCUCCCUAAGCAUGUGGCUAAAGCUGACAGCACCUAUAAGAAUAGUACUAGUCUGUACCAGACUGCUAAGUAGUUGUACCAGCUACAUUUCUUUGUAAUAAGUGUGUAUAUACUAUAUUGGGAUUCCCCUCCUAUAUAAAGGGGACCCUUGAUUUUUCUUGGACACAGAUAUACAACAUUUAAUACAAGAACAUUCUCUGCUCUCUAACUUAAAUGUAUUCUCCCUUGAUUCUAUUACUUACAUUUAUUGUGUUCCAUUAACUGUUCUUCAUUAAUUGCUCAUUAUUAAUCAUAAAGAGCUCAGAUCAAAGAUCUUAGAAUUAUUGGUCCUUCAUCGGACGUUCACAGCCUAAUGCUUAGCUCGACCUCGAGGCCCCGUAUAGGCCAGCUCUAGGCCCCGAUUCUUAGCCGUUCGAUUUUCUUAACAUACCGCCUUCAAGAUCUUAUCUUAUUUUCCAGUCCCACACUUAGCAUCUACUGCCUAACAAUUAGCAUAAAAAUAAAUCAUGUAUUUUUAGAAUCACAAAAUCAAAUCUAAUUGUAAUUACCAUUUUCAAGGUAAACAAUAUCAUUUUGAUAAUUUAUUAUGAAAUACUAUACAUAUACAUAUACAUAUACACAUACAUAUAGAUACACACACACACACACACACACACACACACACACANNNNNNNNNNNNNNNNNNNNNNNNNUGGGUAGCCACCUUUUUCGUAUUUAUCCAAAGUUAAUAUAUAUAUUACUUCUGUGACAUGCUCUUCCAUAACCCCCUCUCAUUUUUCAUUCCCUAAUUCCAAAGAAAACCCCAACCCUUUCUCCUUAUUAUCAUAUAAAACACUACAUGAAAACCAUCAGAAUAUUUCACCAAACCAACUAGCCAAACUAGUUCUUGGUGAAGCUCACAUUGCUCCUCUCUUUUGUGGUAUAUAUACCUUUGUAAAAUCUAAGUGGAUGUAUUUGAGGAAAUGGACGGGUUUGGUUGGUCGAUGGCCUAGACGAUUCAAAUGUCCUUAAAUUAUGGUAGAACUGUUUUGGGGUAAAAUUCCAAUGUUUGUAUAUAAACUUGAUUCUAAAAUCUAUUGUAACGAUUCGACCGGUCAUUUCGAGAAUUUAUGUUACGUUCAGUGGUUUGAGGUCAUGAGUAGCUGCAUAUAGUGUAUUAUGACUUGUGUGUAUAGUCAGUUUUGGUCAUCAAGUUUUUUGGAAUUGAUUUGGAAAAUGAUUCUUAAAUAGGAGGAUUUCAAUUGGAAGAGUUGGCCAAGUUUGACUUUUAUUAUUUAACCUUGGAUUGGAGUUUUUAUGGCUCUGUUAGGUCCGGAUUGUUAUUUUGGAUUUGGGCAUAUGCCCGGAUUUGCAUUUUGGAUGUUUCUAGAUGGUUUUGGCACUAAUCAACAAAAAUUAGCAAUUUGAAGGUUUGUUCAUAGGUUUCCUCGAGCAUUGACUUCCAUGUUAUCGGGUUCGUAUUGUGGUUUUGGGAUUUGGAAUAGGUUUUUUAUUUCAUUUGGAUCUUGUAUGAAGAAAUUUGAGGUCAUUCCAAGUUGAUUUGAUAUGGUUCGUCAUGAGUUUUGAAAGUUAAAAAUUCAAAAGUUCAUUAAGUUUUAUUUGAGGUACGAUUCGUGAUUUUGAUGUUGUUAUAUGGGAUUUGAUGCCUUGACGUGGUAUGUUUUGGGACUUAUUGGUAUGUUCGGACGUGGUCCCGAGGGGUCAGGUAAUUUUAAGAUAGGUUUGGGUUGUGUUGCGCUCGUUUUUUAUAUUUUAACAUCGUUUCUUCAAGUAUAAAUAGUACCACAUUAUUACAAGGAGCUACAAAUUCUGUUUUUAUUGAAGCAUUAGAGUUGUAUCGUAAUUAUAGAGCCAUAGCAAAAAGAAUGGUCGAAUUGAAACAUCGUAUGAAGGUGUUAUGCCCAUUUUAGUGUCAGAGAAAUUAGUUGUUGCUAGUGCUUCGCAGAUGCGAAGUGGGGUCUGCAUUUGCGACCUUGCAGGUGUGAAAAGUGGUCCACAAAAGUGGAAAUAAAAUUGGAAAACCGCAGGUGUGGCUUUUGGGUGCAAAAGCGGAAAUCCAUGUGUAUAAAAAACUCAGACUACAUUUAUUUGUUAUUUUGAGCAUAUUGUGAAUUCUAGAGCUCCGAUUGAGUUGAUUUUCGCAGCAUUCUUUUCGUAUUUUAAUGGGGUCUGUAUCUAACCUUAAAUUUUGUAUUUAACAUGAUUAUAAUAUUUUAUUUGUGAAUUAAUCCAUGUCAUGAUUUGAGAAUUGUGGGUAUUUAUCAAAAACUUUUCUAAAGAUAAUAAUUGGGUCUUUAACAUCAAUUUGGAGCCAGAAUUGGAUGAAAUUAGUAUGGUUGGACUCGUAUUCGAAUAUGCAUAUUUUGUUGGGUUCUACGGUGCGGGCCCAGGUUGACCUUUUGGUUGAAUUUGAAUUUUUGAUUAAAGAUUCUACCUUUAUUGCUUUGGUUUGUUUCCUAAGGCAUUAUUUGAUGUUCUUGAGUUGCUUUUGGUUGUCGAGCCGUUCGGAGGUUGAUUUGUGUGGGAUGUCCUCUGUUGAGUAUAGUUUUGCCUUCUCGGCAUUUGAUUUUGUCUUUUUCGAGGUAUGUAUCAUAUCUAAACGUGAAUUUGAGGAUAAUUAUCCUUAAGAACUAUGAUUUUUGAGAUGUGUUAGGGGUGACUCAUGCACUAGGCAACGGGCGGGUGUGCAUGCACCGAGGUAUUCAUGAUCUGAGUAGUUCAUGGGCUAUUAUGUCCCUUGUUUUGCUUUAAUUCUUCUUUAAUAUCAUAUUUUUCCCAUUUGAAUGACUGCGUGAGUUAUUAUUGAUGCUAGAAAUCAUGUCUAGGUUAUCUGUUUAGUUGUUUGAGACAUAUUAGGGCUAUUUUUGCCAUGUUGAGCUUUUUGCCUUAACCGUUGUUAUAUUGUACAGUCAUAAUAGUUACAUCCACAUGUUAUAUCACUGUGUUUGUGCACUUUUGAUAUGUUGUCUCGCAUGUUAUUGGUAUCCUUGUACGUGACACUAGUUUGGGCUGUAUUUGAAGCAUAUUGUGAUAUUCUAUGUUAUAUAAUUUGAUUAUGUUUCUGUGAGAUUUGAGCCAUCGAGGCUUGAGCGGAUUGAUAGCUGAUGUGGGCCAUAGAGCCAUGUUGUCAGUUAUGUUGGAUCGGGUUGCACGCCUGUCACAACCUGGAAUCUCACCCUCGCGGUCGUGAUAGCACCUAACAUUUUACUUGUUAGGCAAGUCAAAGUUGGCUAGACUAUUUAACUAUUUUUUCCAAUUCAAAAGAAAACAUUAAUAAAAAUAAUCCGAAAUAGUCUAGAGUGGAAUAAAUAAGUACAUAUGACAAUAUCCAAACAUCUCCCAUAAUUCAGAGUCACGAAUACAUGAGCAACUAGAGUACCACACAUAGGGUUUGAAGCAAAUAUAACUGUUUGAGACUAGAUAAACACUAGAAAAGAUAAUGAAGGGGACUUUCGGGUGUCACACCUCUUUUUUCACCCCUCCAAAAGAUAUGUACAAAAGGUAACGUGUUAUGGAUUGUGGGUUAAAGAGUUUUUCCAUUUGAAGUGACAAAUUUGAAAUAGGGAUUAUUUUAUUUACAGAGUCGCCACUUGGAAUUACUUUUUGUCGGUGUUCCAAGUCACCUUUUAUUUUAAUCCCUAUUCAAAGGAAGGUUUGACUCUAUUAUUAUUGGUCUGCGAAAACAAAGUCUGAGUAAGGAAUUCUGUUGACUGAGGAGAAGGUGUAAGUCAUUCCCCGAGUCCCGUGGUUCUAGCACGGUCGCUUUAUUGACUACAUUUGGCUUGAAUUAAACUUGGAUAAACUGUGAUUNNNNNNNNNNNNNNNNNNNNNNNNNNNNNNNNNNNNNNNNNNNNNNNNNNNNNNNNNNNNNNNNNNNNNNNNNNNNNNNNNNNNNNNNNNNNNNNNNNNNNNNNNNNNNNNNNNNNNNNNNNNNNNNNNNNNNNNNNNNNNNNNNNNNNNNNNNCAAGACAAAAUCCAAAAGCCCAUAUACUUUUGGACUUUAAAUCUGCAGAUAUGACCUUUUAAAGUUAUGUUACAGAUUUGGCCCUAUCUUGAUAUUUGUAAUCCGUAGCCAACCAUUUACAAAAAUAAGUUUACAGAUUGUCUUUCUAAUCUACAACUUAACUACCUUACUAAAUAAGUAUUUUUAAGAGACAAAAAAAAGAUUAUUGGGACUCUAAAAAUAUAAUAAUAAUAAUAAUAAUAAUAAUAAUAAUAAUAACAACAACAACAACAACAACUUAGCUUGGUGACAACAAAUGGACAAACAUAGCUUCAAGGGUUCAAAUUUUAAUAUAUAUGCUCCUUUCUGACAACCAAAUGCCCAGUGGAAUUAUAUCUAAUGCUUUGCAAAAAAAUAAAAAUGCAAAUAAUUAAAGAUGCUUAACACAAUUUAAUUAACUAACAUAUCGUUAUAACAUUAUCAAACAUUCAAGAGCAUAUAAAAUGAAUUACAAUAGAAGGAUGAAGCUACUAAUAUUUUCCAGCAUCAUUAUCUUUCAUUCCAACUCGAUUUUAUGAGUUUACAUGGUCCGAAAAUUACCUGGACAUCAGAAAGAAGAACAAAUACAGCAGAGUCAGCUCUUUUGAAAAUUAACAGCAAAACAAUUAAACGGGCAGCAACAACAGCAAAAGACAGCAACAACCGACAGAUUCAAACCCAAGAAAAUAAACUAGAAAUACCCCAGCAAAACAGUACAAUUAUGUAACUCCAGAAAAAUCGUUCAAUACUACUCUAUUUUCCUUAAACAAAAUUUUCACUUCAGAAUCAACUCACAAAAGCUGCUAAGGGAUAUUAUAGUUACUGAUUUUUUUCCCUCUUUUUUGGGUGUAGAGCUCCCUCUAGUCAGAUGGAGUGUCCUCCUUUUUAUAUUAAAACAACCAGCUAUUUCAAAAAAUUAAAAAUCAAUCUUUUUGACAGAUUUUUCUACAAAAUCUGCUCUUAAAUUCAAAAAUCAAGACUUUCUGGUUCAAAUCUUGUCAAGUAUUUCAAACAAAAUUUGCUCUCCACUAUUCAAAGACAAACUUUUAUUCAAACACCGUACAAAAGUCUAUAUUUUCUUACCAAACAAUUUGAGUUUUGAUUGUUCUACUCAAAGAGUCUUGAAGUAGUAAAUAAACAACCAAACAAGUACCAUAUACUCUUAGGUAUUCUUCACUACCUCACUUUUAUCAAUACUAAACUAUUUUACUACUUCAACAAGUGCAAACUAGAAAAUUUAACAUUUCAAACUUCAAAAGCUAAUGCUAAAUAAUUAAUAAUAGACAAAAUAAAAAUAAAAAAAUCAAUCACGAAAAAGAAUAGGAUUUUUGCCAAUUUACAAUUCAAGUUGCCGAAAAAAUGCUGUUAUGCCAAAAGAGGGCGUUCGGGGAGGUCGCCGGAGUUUUGCCGGAUUUUGGUCGCCGGAUUUUCAGGGUGAAGUUGGCAUCAAUAACUAGGUCUUGAGGAGCUCUAUCCAUUGAUGUAGGUAUUGUGGGAGUGGUAGUGGCCGGAGCUUCAAGAAUUUGGGCAAAAAGGUGGUGGUUAAAACGUCCUAGAUCUAAGAUUCAAGGAGUUUGAGGGAGAUAUGGAAAGAGGAGGUUUUGGAGAUUACAUGGUGAAAUUUUGAGAUGGUUUGGAGGUGGUCCAACACUGGUGGGCGAUUUCCGGCGGCGGUGGAGGGGCGGCAGUUAUGGAGAAAGAGAUAGAGAAGAGAGAGAAAGGAGAGAGAGGGUGGAGAAAAUAAUUAUGGGAGAAAGGUUUGGAGGUGGUCCACCACUGGUGGGCGAUUUCCGGCGGCGGUGGAGGGGCGGCAGUUAUGGAGAAAGAGAUAGAGAAGAGAGAGAAAGGAGAGAGAGGGUGGAGAAAAUAAUUAUGGGAGAAAUGGGGGCAAAAUUUCAGUAUUUAUAAGUCUUAAAUACCUAGUUGGAAGAUUGAUUGUGGAAAUUGGAUGAGGGAGGGAUGAAUGGAUGAGAUUGAAUCUUGUCACUUAACCAAACGGCGUAGUUUCAAGACAAAACUACGUCGUUUUAAGCUCUUCUUGGCAGCCCCCUGUUGGACCGGAUUUGGGCUCUUUGGGCUCAAAUUUUGGGCCAAUUUUGGCACAAUUUUAAUUAAAUCACACUAGCCCAAUCCCUACCCCAUUUAUCAAACCAUUACUCAACUCUUAAAACCUAUACAUACACAAAUAAGCACAAACACAUACUCAUACAUAUAUAUAUAUAUACACACACACACACACACACACACACAUACACACAAGGCAAAAAUUAGGCAUUUACAGCUGCCCCUCUUUGCUCGAGAACAUGAAGAGUUUUUGUGCAAAGACAAAUAAAUGCCAUGGAUAAUUUUUGCUCACAUUCACUCUAGUGGAAGCAUUUUGAAAAAGGUGGUGACCGAACCUUGCUUCUAAGGUUGCCUAUAUAUCCUUGGCUAUAAAGGAAUCAGGUCAGUGUAGUUCUGGAAAAAUUUGGUAGGUGGGACUACCAGACAUUGGAGUUAAGGCUGAUGUUGUUGCUGCUGUUGUUGUUACUCUUAUCGUUACUGCUUCUUACAUUAAUAUAAAAAGAGAAGAACACUACAUAUGUCUGCAAACUAAGAGUACAAAAAUUCCUAUCCACGUGUCUUCUGGAGUCAAAUAUUGAUUCUUGACUUGCUCGCUUGUGUUGACCUUAGAUUGGAUCUUAAUUCUUUUGAAGAUUAGAUUAUAACUCAAUCUCGAUGGCUUGCUUUCUGGAUAAGAAUUUUGAGAAGAUGAAUCUCGAGAAGCUGGGCUGCUGACACAUUAUCAAAGAUAAACUCCAACUAUCUUGUAAUUGAAGGAUUUCUUUCUUCUGAUAAGAAACUGAAACUGCAAGCUUUAAUCGUCACUUGUGCUAUACGACAGAACCUGCAAAGCCAUCAAAGACAAACAAAAACGAACAAAAUUUUUCUGCCCCAGUCUAGCACUAGAAACAUUUUGUGAGUUAUUAGAGAAAUUUGUAAAUUAUCUAAUUUAUUGAAAAGGUAGACAGAUUACCCUCUGCCUCUCGGGGUGGGGGUAAGGUCUGCGUAUAUAUUACCCUUCCCAUAGCCCACUUGUGGGAUUAUACGGGGAUGUUGUUGUUGUAGUUGUAGUUGCAGAUAGAAACAAUAGUAAAAACUAGCUAAAAAGGGAUAAAAUUUGGUAAUGAAUGAUUGUGUAACCAGGGAUCGGUACCCCGUACUACUGAAAGCAAAUGUAAUCAGGGGCUGGUACCUUCUCUUACUAGAAGGAAAUAGAAUCGGGUGUUAGCACCAUGUAUUAGUGAUAAAGUGUUGAAUCCUUUUAGGUGAAAAAAGGUUCGAUCUGAGUUAAAUUGUAUUAAACAACCUGAGUGAAGAUUACUUCUACCCGGAACUACGAACUAGAUCCCACUAGGUGAAACGGUUCUACCUGGGUUAAGCUACAUAAAACACCCUGAGCGAAGAUUACUUCUACCCGGAACUACGAACUNNNNNNNNNNNNNNNNNNNNNNNNNCACGUUGAGCGAAGAUUACUUCUACCUGAAAACUAUGAGCUGGAUCCCCCUAGGCGAAAAGGUUCUACUUGGGUUAAGCUAGAAAAAUGGGAGGUGUGAAUAAUAGUGAUGCAUGCUGAAAAUAGAAAAAUGGAUAUUUAAAGGAUCUUACGUUUGGUGACGUUCAUUUUUUUUGGUUCUUUAUUUCAGGGAAUGCGGGAAAGAAUUUGGAGGGGACUUCCCUUUUGGAUUGAUUAUUGCUGCAAAGCUGUUUCUAGCCCUUGCGCAGUUUCUCUUUGGUUGCACCUGCUUCUCACAAGGUUGCUUUGGAUCGCACUUGUUUCAUGUUUUUAAACAAAAAACAAUUGUUAGUUUGAAACGGUGGUUGGUUUUGUGGACUUGGUUGUUUUGAUCACUUGAUCUCGGCCCUUUCAACUACAACUGGUUGAUUCCUGAAUACCAAUUGUCUUUUUGACUCUGGAAAAACUCUAGCUUUUCCAGACUUUGUCAUGAUAAUUGGUCGGUGGAACUCAACCUUUUCGACUUUAUCUUGCCUUCAUAGGCCUUUCCCUUCUAACUUCUUUUUUUAAAUAUUCUUUUUUUUUUCAUUAGUUUUUCUUUCUUUUCUUUUCUUCGAAGCAUUGGGGAACUUUUGGCUCCUUAGACUUUAUUGCAAUGGCUAGUCGCGUGGGACUUAACCUUUUCCAACUUUAUUUCGCCUUCGUAGGCCUUUUUUUUGGGUUCUUUCUGCCAACUUCAAAUUCAGAGCAUUUGGGGUACCUUGGCUUUUUCAACUCUUUGCCGAGACGGUUAGCCACGUGGGACUCAACCUUUUCAACUUCAUUUGCCUUUAUAGGUGCUCUAUUUGAUUUUCUCUUUCCAAGUGUUUUGAUUUCGAAGCAUCAGCCGUCAUGGCUAGUCAGGAUCGACUUGAUUCCCGUGACGAGGCUGGGUGCCUUUCUACACAUUAGCUCACACAAAUGAGAACACUAUAAAUCAGUCUUGCCAUCCUUUCUUUGUCUUAAUUUCGGAACAGUGUUAGGCCGAAAGGGAUUAAAAGAAAACAAACAAUGGAAUGGAGAAUGAGUUUAAAACAAGAAGUGUCCCUUUCGGAGAAAGGAAAGAAGGACUUAUCUGGAGUACAUGCAUACUUCAAUGAACAUGACAUGCCUUUUAAACUGGAUGUCUGAUCUGUGUAAACCGUCUGACUCUCAGAAAUUCAUCACAAUUUUUUGCCUCAAAAUCGAGAAACCUUGCCAGGACUCUAUCGAUGCCGAUGGCUAUAAGGAUCCUCUUUUCGAUCAGGGGCGCCCUUUGCGGGUUUUCACGAGCUGACCUCUCUCAUUUAUCUACUCACCAUCGCCUUAUAGUGCUCUUUACGAGUUUUCACUAACAAGACUCUCUUGUUUUGAUUUCUUUAAUUACUGUCGCCUCACGGUACCCGUGUGGGUUUUCACCAAUAAGACUUUCUCAUUUUAUUUCUUUGCUUAAUGUCGCCUCACGGUGCCCAUGUGGGUUUUCACCAAUAAUACUCUCUCAUUUUAUUUCUCUCAUUUGAUUGCAUCGGACCCAAGUAGAUGUAUCCUCCAAUUUUGGACAUCUUUACUAAUUGAUCGGAAAGACUUGAACAGGAUUUGGGGUAAAAAGAGUUUGGACAGAAUUACAACUUUGGAACCUUGCGGGCGAACCAUCGCCUAACCAUUAUAACAUCUGCCCCAGUUUCACUUUUGGGAGAAUUUGGAUUUUUAUUUUAGUGUGACUGAACCCCAAAGAGAGG